UGAUAUGUUGAUCAUAAAUAAAUUAGGCUAAAUUACAUAAAAUUUUUCUGUCAAAAUUCGAUUUUUUAUUUUUCCCCUCUAUCAUUUAAAAAUCUACACUUUGCCUCCUUAUAAAAUAAAAAAUGAUCACAGAGGAUACGGUGUAAAUUGUGAUGAUAAAAUAACUAUUUUGCCCCUCAUCAUUUUUGGCAACAGGAGAGAAAGCUGAGGGUAUUUUUGGCAUAAAAAAUAUAAUAAUAUUUUAUAAACGGAACUCUAACGAAUCACUAACGGUAGAGGGUGAAGUGAACAUUUUUAUCUUACAAUGGAGUGAAGUGUAGCUUUUUAAAUGACAGGAGAAAAAGUAAAAAAUUGAGUUUUGACAGAAAAUUUUUUUAUAAUUUAGCCAAUAAAUUAUUAUGAUAAGAUGGUUCUUGUAAAUCAUUUCUUUUUGGUUCUUAUAUGUAUAUAUUCUCAAGUUAUUUGAUGUAGCUUGUGCUUUUACCAUGGAUUGCACACUCAUUGCUUUAUAUGUAAUGUUAUUUAAGUAGAUAAGUUUCAUUUUUUAUUUCAAUUUAUUAUGAACUUUGACCAGCAAUGCCUCCGUGCUAUGAAUCGAGAAUUUAAGUACAGUGACAUAGAGCUGUGCCAAAAAUUUACUGGUUCGUGCCUUGUCGAUUAAUGGUUUUAUCAAUUUUUUUUUGUAGUUUAUUAAAAUAACUGUUUAUUAAUUUAAAAAAAAAAAUUAAGUCGCGUCAUUAGCUCGGAAGUCGUAUUGUGCAACUAAUUUAUUGGCACGAUAUGUUACGAUGGUUAUUUAAUUAUUGGAGAUAACCACUUAAAUCUUUAAUAUGGGAAUAAAAAUUUUUAUACAGUGAUUCGAACCUCUGACUUAUACUCUGGCUUAAGCCACUGAGUUGGUUUAGCCCGAGUUUAAACCGAGUCGACUCGCAUAUUCCUCCCACUCUCUACUCUCUAGUCUCUACUGUGUUCGGGGGAGGCAUCUCAGCCUCCUCCUCUAUUCUCACCUAACCUUGCUCAUAAUAAUAAGGAAAAACUUCAAAAUACCUCCAUGUGGUUUCGUAGUUUUUCACUUUGCCUCCCAGUGAUUUAAAAUGUAUCAAAUUGCCCUCCUGUGGUUUCGUUUUUAUCUUUUCGGUAGUUUUGUCGUUAAUAUUUUAUUAAAUUAUAUACAAAAAACUUCAGAUACCCAUCUAGAUUUAUUAAAUAUUCACUUUAGUACCCUUUAAUUUUAAUUUUAUCAUUGAUUUAAGAAAAAAAAUAAUAAAAUUGAUAAGAAAAAGAGAAAAAAGAAAUCACAGGGGGGGCAAAUUAAUGCAUUUUAAACCACAGGGGGGCAAAGUGAAAAACUAUGAAACCACAUGGGGGGUUUUUGAAGUUUUCCCUAAUAAUAAUAAACGAAAUUUAUUUAUGGUUUUGUAUGUUUAAUAUUUAAAAAUAUUAAAAUAUUGUUGUUUUAACUGUUUAGGUUUUAUAAAAAAUAAAAAUAAAUUUUGAAAAUGACCCUACCAAAUAUGAUGCGAUAAUACAUCUUAAAUACAAUAAAACACAAUAUAAAAUUACUGAAAGAAGUUCGCAAUCAAUAUGAUCAUUGUAUUUUGUAAUGAACCGAAAUGAUACAAAUAAACAAAAGAAGUUAAUAUUCUAUGUUUUUGAAUAAUCCUUUGAAGCAAAAAUAGCUUAUUUUUCUACAAUCGAUCAAUUAGAAGUUGCAUAUGAUUAUUAUCAUGAAUAUCUAAUUAUACUUCUUAAUUAUAGUAGACAACUCCAAAUUAUUAUUCUCUGCUAUAUUAAAAUAAGAUAUUCACGCGUUUAAAACAAACAUAAAAGGAUAAUAUCAAAUUCAGAUGUUAAAAAUCUCUAAUAUCUAUAAUUCCGUAGAAUAUUUUAUUUUAUCUAUAAAUUAAUUUAUUUUAUUUUGAAAAAAAAAACUUAAACGUUGAACAUGAUAUAAAUAAUUUAUAUGAAAUAAUAAUUAUUAUCAUUAUUAUAAUAUUAUUAUCAAGCGGGAAAUUUUUUAUUUUAUUAUUAAUAUCCGAACAAGAUAUACAUACAUCAAAACAAGUACAUCUGAUCAAAAUAGAUAAUAAUAAUAACAAAUAUUUAAAUUUUAAAAAUUAUAUAAAUUGGUUAUCCCCACCGGGGGUGGCCAUAAUCCGUAAUAAUACUAUUACUAUUCCAUCAAAAUUUCAAAUAUCACCCCUAAUUUUGCACUUUUUCACUUUAGUAUCUUAUAUUUUAAAAUAUAUCACUUUAGUAUCUGUGAUUUUUUUUUCUUUUUGUUAUUUUCUCUACUAAUUUUUUUAAUUAAAUCAGUGACAAAGUUAAAAUUAAAGAAUAUUAAAGUGAAUAUUUGAUAAAUUAUAGGUGGGAUAUUUGAAAAUUUUUGUAUAUGAUUUAACAAAAAGUUAACAAAAGGGCUGAUAAAAAAAAAAAAUAAAACCAUAUGUACUAAAUUGAUACACUUUAAAUUGUAAGGUACUAAAGUAACUAAGUGAGAAAUUACAGGGGUUAUUUGAAGUUUACCCUUCCAUCGAUAUAUAUCUAUCACCCCAUCAUCACCUCUCUCUCUCUCUCCUCUUCUCUCUCUCUCUCUCUCUCUCUCUCUCUCUCAUCGUUCCCAUCGCCUCUUUCGCUCGCUCUCUCUCACGCUCCGCUCUCGAGCGAUCCCCAACGAGGAAGGGGGGGGGCGAGGAGGAGACCCCGAUCGAGCGCCAUGGGGGUCGCCAUGGACGUGUCGGCUCUCAAUUUGAAGACCGCGGGGCUCGUCCUCGGCGCGGGGAAGAAGGUCGACCGGGUGGUCGAUGUUAGGGUUCCGAUCGUGGGGUGGAAGGGGAUGGGGAUGGGGAGGGCGAGGGCGAGGUCGUUGGUGGUGGUGAGCGCGGCGGGGAAGAAGAAGAACCACGAUAACCCUUCUUCUUCGGGUAAAUUCUCCACCUACCUUUUCUUCCCCCGUAAAUUCGAGGUUACGAUUGUAGUUGUAUUCGGAAAAUUUUUGAUUUUGAUGUAGGUUUUGACGUUCUGUUGAUUGAGAUGUGAAUUGGGUUUAAUCCGGGUAUGAUUAGAAGAAAAGGGAAGUAAUUUUGCUUCUAUAGUGUGCUUUUUUUUAUAGGAUUAGUUAAAAGAUCAAUUUUUAUGUAUAAUUUUGAUAGUAUUUGUUUUGAAUAUUAGGUAGAUCUUAUCACGAUCGUAUCUAUUUUGACAUUGUUAAAAAAAAAAAAAAAGGCUCCCCAAUUUGGUAAAAUAUGGUUCUUAUUAGCAGAUUAAUCUUGUUUCUUUCUUAUAAUUAAUUAUAAUUGUAAACUUAUACUUGUAAAAAGCUCCGAGUACUCUCUUUUCGCUGACCGUGUUCAUGCAAUUUUAUGAUUGUGGGAUGAUAAAAACCUGUGGAGUGCAAUUACCUCUUCUGUGUUAUAGCUUUGUAGAUUUUGCUAGUGUUGUUCACGAUGUGAGAUGAUAAGAUGCAUAGAGUUUACUAGCCAAACACAAAAAUUAUUUCCAUUUGCAGGUAAUGGUGAUCCAUCUAUUCCGGAGGGAGAUGGCGCGGAUGAGACAAAUCCAGCGCUCGACAAAUCAAAGCCUACUGACUCCGCACACAAGUCCGGUCACACCUUAUCUGACUGGCGAGAUUUCAGGGCAAACCUUAUUUAUAGAUGGAAGGUGAAUUUCUGUCCAAAUUAUUUCUGAGUUGCUAUGUGGAUACUAGAUAGGCUUCUAAACUUGCGCAUGUUACGACUCUAUGCUCUCUGUUCGUAUUUACAAAUCAUGCUUUAAUCAUAAGCUGUGAGUAUUAUGGUUGGCACAUUUUCUGUGUGCUUUAUGGAUGUAUGUAUCCGUUGUGGCUAGCUUUACAAAUUGGAUAAAAAAACUAAAUGUUGGUUCCUAAAAUUAGCAAUACGAUUUCCUAACACUUGUAAGCAUUUAGCAAGAAAGGCAACCAAGUCUUAGAGUAGUCAUUUAAUCACUUCAUUAUCUGUCCCGAUUUGCAUGGUCUAUGGAGGACUUGUCUAAUAAUUGGUCGAUUCAGGGAGUGCAUAUGAUGCCUCUUAUCCUCUUUGAUUUUACGUGUAAACGUGUUGGUGAGAUGGUUAUCUAUUUAUUUAGAUUGAAGUAACAUAAGCGGAAAAAAAAUUAUAGAUUAGGGACAUUUGCUGUAUAUAUUAUGUAGCAUUUGUUAGUUGCCAUGUGGCCUAUGCAUGUGAAUUAUUUUGCAGCAUCUGUAUUCUAAGUGAUUGCAGUGGCUCUCCUGCUCCAAAACAUUUACUAAAUAAUCCAUUAGGCAUUGUUUGAUUAUUCUGUUUUUAGUUUUUCUGCAAAUUCUUUGGGAUAUAAGUUAGGGAUGGACCUCUUUAGUUUUGUUAUAUUACAUUAUCUAGGGUGCCUUAUUUAUGAGCAGAAAACAGAAAUGUAGUUGUAACCUUUCUUUUUUUUGUUUGUGUUUUUUGAAAUGAUAAAGCUUGCAGGCUAACCAACAAUUACAAAAAUGAAGAAGCUCAUCCCUUUGUGGCUUUGUCGUAAAGAGCUUGUAAACAGAACAAAGAUGCCCUUAGUUUUGUCUCUGGUAAUUUCUUAUAAUUUUGGAGAGUUUAACUUCUCUGUAUUUACUCAGGAUGAUUUGCUUGAUUCUGAAGCUCCCACCAAGGACAAAGCCUUGAACGAGCCUACCCAACAUCUAGGUCUCAAGUGGGCUCAUCCUAUUUCGUUCCCGGAAACUGGAUGCGUGUUAGUCGCCACCGAGAAGCUCGACGGCGUCAGCAGCUUCGAGCGAACCGUCGUCCUUCUCCUCCGAUUAGGCUCUCAAAGUCUGCGAGAGGGCCCUUUCGGAGUCAUCCUCAACCGCCCUCUAAACAAGAGAAUCAAGCACAUGAAACCCUCCAACGCCGACCUAGCUACCACCUUCGCGGAUUGCCCCCUCUUCUUCGGCGGCCCCCUCGACGCGAGCAUGUUCUUACUGAAGACGGGCGAAAACUCGCCCAAAACACCGGGCUUCGAGAAAGUCGUCUCAGGAAUCUCUUUCGGCGCGAGGAAUAGCUUGGAUGAAGCCGCCGCGCUCGUGAAGAAGGGUGUGCUGAGGCCGCAGGAUUUCAGGUUCUUCGUGGGCUAUGCGGGGUGGCAGUUUGAUCAGCUGUUAGGGGAGAUCGCGAACGAUUACUGGGUGGUCGCCGCGUGCAGCUCACAUUUGAUCAGUGGGGCAGCGGCCGAUUCGUCGGUGGACUUGUGGGAGGAGAUUUUGCAGCUGAUGGGUGGGCAAUAUUCGGAAUUGAGCCGGAAACCAAAGCAAGAUAGCUCUUGAAGAGUUCUAAGGGUAGGAUUUAUGGUCAUUUGUACAGAGAAGUAAUUUAAACUGAACAUUAUGGUAAUGAUUUGUCUCUCUUUUUCUCUUUUCUUUUGAUUUAGAAAUGAACUUCCAGUUUCAUGUAUUUAAUUACUGAAUUAGUUUUCGUGAUAUAAGGGAUUUUCUUAGUAAAGGGGUAUGAAGAUCUCAUUGGUGUCAUAUUGUGAUGAUAUUUGGUUUCCAUGAAAAAUUCUUUGUGGGAUUAGAAAGUGAGAUAAUAUUUAUGGUUUGAGUUAAAUGAUAAACAAUAUUGGCCCUCAAUUAUUAAUCUUAUUUGUCUUUCUUUUUACUGAUUUGGAUUUUAAUUAUGGUAUUGAAUUAGAAUGGCUUUUCCUUUUCCCUGUAAUAUGUUGAGUUGGCUUGAUAGUGUUGUUGUAUGAUUGUAUUAGCUUCUGAGUGGCAAAGGGGUUAGCGGUUCACAUGAAACCUGUCAUUUUACAGAUGAUUGGGAAUGUAGAACCCAGGAAUUUGGUUGCUUUUAGAACUAAAAUUGAUUCGAAAGAUCAUUUUGAUCUGGUUUUGAAUAAUUCUAGACUAUACCUUGCACUCCCUCUCUCAUUGGCAUGCCUUCAUUGAAGUAGCACUAACACAUUGGAUGAAAAGAAGACACAAACUAAUAUUUUCCUAGUGCCAAAGUGGCAUUAUUUUUUCAUAGUUUGUUCAAACUGCUUGAGAUUGAAGGCUCUUGCUAUUGCUGUUAAUAUGCAGACUCAUUCAAUUAAAAAAGAAAAACUGCAGAAUCAUCUUUAUUUCUCAAUAAAAAGAAGUAAAUUAAACUCAUAAUUGAUGUUGUCAGGCAAGAUCAAAAUUUUUAGAGUUUUCAAAAAAAAAAAACAAAAAAAGAAAAGUUAACUUCAUCCUUACCUACCUACAGACUCUAGUGAGAAAUUUAAAAAAAAACAGAAAAAAAAAGAAAGGAGAUUUCGUAUAUCAAAUGGGCACAUUAUUCCACUGAUAUAGGACAAGGCAUCAUCAAGGAGCAAUCCACCCCAAAAACUCAUUUAAGAGGGUAUAGAGCAAACACAAGUACCAGUAUGUUAGUACAAAAUAAAAAUUUAUAAGAGGGUAACAACUUCACUUUUUAUGUUUCGAAAGAGAAUAGUGUUUUUUAUCCCACAGAAAAUCGAGGGUUACAACAACAUACAUACAUUUACUAAAUAAAUAAAUGAAUUGAUACAGCCAAGGCCUAAGCAAAAUCAGGCUAUAUAUAUACUUCCAGUAUAGUUCUACCUCAUUUGGUAUCACGAAGAUGGGCCGGUUUAAAUUACCGGAUCCCUCUUACUGUUGUCUCAACUCGAAAAGUAGAUGAAAGGAUCCUAAAAAGCCCAUCAGGAUUAUCCGCAUGAACCUGAGAACCGAAGUAGUAAAAGGUGAAGUUACAUGCCAUGUUAACUAUUAAGUAUUAGGUAAUUAGUAAAUAACAAUAUAUAAAUAAACACUUAUUAUGUAUAUGUAAAGUAAUCGUGCCGUUAGGCUUAUCUCUAAUUUAAUAAACAGCAAAAAUUCCUAGUAAACUAUUUUAGAAAAUGGACAACUUCGAAUUUUGACAGCAAAAAAAUGCAAUGUGUAAAUGCUGUAAUGUACGCAGAAGCCUCAGAUUGGAACUUUUGUUAUUCGAACCCAGAAACUAAAUUUAGCUUCAGCCACAGCACUAACGGUAUAUUAUUUGUUUCCUUAGCUUCUGCUCUCAGAGUAAAACAAUUCAAAACCCCUAGAUUAUCCAAUAACCCGCAUUGGAAAAUGGGAACUACACUUUAUAAUAAUUAGUUUAUAUAAUACCGUAAUGGAUGUUAGGCGUUAGAUAGUAUUACCCAGUGCCCAGCAUCUUCGAGGACAUGCAUCUGAACUCCUGCCCCCUCAUCCGCAGCCAACUCCUCUGCUGCAUGAAUUCUCUGAAGAUCUUCAAGCGCCCAUCUAUGUAAACUUCUCUCAGCUUUCAAAAAAUUUACAUGGACCCCUCGUGGCACAUUCUCCACAAUUUUCCUACACAAAUCGAAUUGACAAUUACGAAGAGAACCAAUAGUUUUAAGAGAUAUCUACAUAUAAAUGUAUUCAGAUAUGCCCUUCAAAACUUCUCUGAACAAAACCAGCUUUUUGCAUGAAUUGUUGGCACUGCUUAUAUUUGUGAAAAUUUUGCAAGUUCGAAGGGUGUAUAUGGAUAUUCAGGAAUAAAGAAUUACACGUAUGUUUAAUUAGUACCAUAAGUUAGUUUCCUCAUAGGACUUGUACAUCUCGGCAAUGCCGUUUAGGUCAAAAACCCAUGAGAAGCUUGAAGAGGACGAUGGGCUGGGCUGACUUGUCUGCCGGAGAUUUGUGACCACCCACUGAGAGUAGAAUUGAACAGAAAUGGCAGAAAACAAGAAUACCAUUAGAUAUAAAGAGAAAAUUGUAGUAUUAGCAAAAUAUAACAAAUUUUAAGAAUCUACUAUAGAACAUGAUUUAGUUCAACAAAUCAUGAUGUAUUUUUACAUUUAGUAAGCGGUUAUACAAUUCAAGGUCAUUUGCCAGUUUUGGUUCAUUUCCUAAUAGUUGGCGUAGGAAAGAAUCACAGAAAUCCAACACCUUGUUUCAUGGAUUGAGGAACGUAUUUGAAGAAGAUAAGUUCAAUUUGGUUGAUUCACUGGCGAAGGGCAGAAACCCAACUAAAUUUCACAAAUGGGCCAUAAAACUAGUUCAAAAUUUUCAAUUUCAAUUCAAGAUCAUUGUAACAUGCCUGCUACAGUAUGAUAAGAUGAAAUGUGCUUAAAAUUUCUCAGUCAGUUAGCAAAUUAUGCAACAUAACAUAGUAUAUAUGAGUUUAGAUACUUUAUCAUAAAAGACGCAGCGUAGCAACUAAUUUUUCAGUUCAGAAGUGAAAAAUUGAAAUGAGAAGAGCUUUUGCAUUGAGGAUAACCUCUCAUAAAUAGAAUCAAGAAUACCAUUAAAGGUGGUAGCAACUAUAGAUAUCUUUUUAGAAUGAUUACAAAAAAGGCUCAUGUUAUAUAUCAAAUUCUCAACAUACCCUAGCAACAUCUAGAGAAAAUCCUUCUCGAACAAGAGCAUCAACUAUUUCCUGCUUUGAAGACACCUGCACAACAUGAAAGACGAACCCAACUCCAUAAAAACAAAACAAUCCUAGAACGUACAUUAACAUGAAAUUAUUAAAAUAUAGAUCAAUGCAUGAAAAAUAGAAGCCUACCUGGUUUGGUAGCCUACUUAGAAAAGCAAUUAGUUCACCAGGGUGAUCUUCACCAUCUCCACCAGCACGAACUUUCCCAGGAGUUGCAUCAAGAACCCAUACCUUCAGAAUAUUGAAAGUAAAAGAUGUCAAAACAAAACCUUUUCAAAAUAAAGAAAAAUAAAUAAAAAGAUGUUACAAAUAAAGUAAGCAGCAAUAUGCUAUUCAAAAAGAAAAUUAUACAUGUUCUAAAACUCUGCACCGUAAAUUGUAAACAUACCCUAACAGGUCGAGCAAGAGGCUUCGCAGCUUGUUCUACCAUACUUAAGGCCACUGAGGAAGAAAUAUUAUUAAUGCAGAAAAUUAUGGUUAAUCAACAACUAAAAUAUGUUCCGAAGUAUAUAUAUAUAUACACACACACACACUAUCAAGACCAAGCAUAUUAAGCAGAUCAAGUACCUUUUCCGCCAAAACUAUGACCAACUAAGACUCGAGGAGUAACUCUAAGUUGUGCCACCUGGUUCAGAAAGAAAAAAAUGUCAAUUAAUAUGCAUAAAAUUACAAGAAAAAAUAAAAAAAGAACUGGUUUGCAAACUACUGUUAUUUUCAUCUUAUGCUAUUAUUUCAAUAUACUUAUUAAGUCUUGCAAAUGAAUCUACAAUAUAAUACAUGUAUAUUUACAUGAUUCUAGAUAUAUGGCAUGUCCUCUGGCUUGCGGAGAAACUUCUUCAUUCAUAUGGCAAAAACUAAUAAAAAUACAUUUAAUGAAGAGAUUGCAAGUAAAGAUAUAAAAGCACGCACAAGCUUUAGAACAUCAAGAGCAGCUGAAGCAACAGUAUUCGGUCCAUUCUUUUUAAUUGAUGCUGAAUCUCCAUGGCAACGCAGAUCAACUAAAAGGAACUGCAAGAAACAAUAUCAGAAAACCACGAGGCAUAGAUACAAGUUCUGACAAUAUAAGCUAUCUUCUUCUAUUCUGGCACCAAUUAUGUAGGCUUGAAGUCAGGUUAUAGUUUCCUCAGACUUUCCACUAAGUUUUUCAAUUUCAGCUUGUGCAGAUAGCAGAAGCACCUUCAAGGGACUAGGGAAAUGUAGAAUGUUCAUCAAGCAAUAAGUUAGUACCUGCCACAUUGGAAAUUCCUGAGCCAGUCUCCUUGCAAAAGACCCUGAGGAAAUUUUAUGAUAACAAAAAAGAAUAAGGCCAAUAAAUCAAACAGGUACUAAAUUUGACAAGCUAACCAAAUCUAUUUAAUAGUCUUCUUCACCGAUCAAGAUCAAAUGGCAAAUUCUAGAUUAUUGGCAUGUGGUCAAAAGAUCUUACAAAGAACCGGAAGUAGCAUAUAAUUGGAAGGAAGUGACAAAGGCUAAAAAUUUAAGCAACUGUCUCGAUGCUUAAAAAGCCAGAAUAAUGAACUUACCCCAAUUCUUCCUGCAGCCUAGAAUCCCAUGCAGGAGAACGGCAGUUGGCGGAUCAGGUACUGACUUGUCCCUGAAACAGUUCCAUUGGACCUAUAUGUAUAAAAAAGGUGAAGAUAAUUUUACUGAAAUCUCAGUAGGUUCUUGACUCAAUAAGUUACUACAAUGCCAAUCUAAGAGCUGUGAACACAUGAUUAUUCAAUUAGUAUCGACAAAGUGAAGACAAAGUCUUGUGAAAACAAGAAGUCCUAGGACAUAAUGAACACUUACAAGGUUUCCCUGAACCAACUCAUAAGCCUGGAAAAAAUGAGAAUUAAAACUCAAUUAGAUAAAUGUAACAAGGAAGUGACACUACUAGAACCAUAUAUUGGUCAAACAUCUAAUGCAGUUCAACUAUUAUGUGAAAGUCAAUUACCAGCACUCCCCCAGGCUUGGAGACAUUUGGUUGCCGAACAAUUCUUUCAUCGACCAAAGCCAUUCGAGUAUGUAAACCAGGACGCCUCAGAGCAAGCUUCAUGUUUUGAUUACUUAAAAUUAAUCGGCCAUUCCAGCAUACAUUUUCCUAAAACCAACCACAACAUAUGAAGAAAUUCAAAAGAGAUUCCUAAAUCCUAAUUACAUUAAAAUGAUAUAAGUAUAUUAACCUACAAUGAUAAGAUAACCACAAUGAUCACUUUCGUUUUCUCAGAGUGACUACGUACAACUAUUUUUAAAUGAUAAUACUCCAAAAUUCCUAUUCUUUUCUAAGUUUUACACCAUAAGCGCAACUAAACUAAAUUGCAUCCUACAUUAUUAUCAGAUGAAAAGGUAAGUGACAAUUUAUGAAACAACAAAUUCACCACAAAUUUGGAGUUAAAUUGCAUCCAGAUAUACGAGAACUCUACUAAAUCCAUCUCCACUUUCUUACAAAAUGCAAAAUAUACAUCAAUUUAACGAAAAAAUAGAUAAAUUCUACUUAAUUGCAGCGCAUUUCUCUCUGGAAGAGCAAAGGGCUCCAAUUUUCUCAUCCAAACAUCCUAAAUUCGCAUCAAGCCAUCCAAUCUAUGAUUCGAUCUUACCUCGCGAAGCCUCAAAACCCUAAUCCCCGUCGUCGAAUCCGAGGAGCGAAUCGAAGCCCAUCCCGGCUCGCAUCGGCACGGCGCCGCGAGAUUCGAAGCCACCGCCAUCUCGAUCUGCGGCGCGCGAGCCCUCCGCUACAAGCGCCGAGAUCUACAAGGGGGAAGGGGCGGAGGAGGGGGAAUCGAGGGGGACGUAAGUGUGGAGAAAUCUAGGGUUUUGGUUCUGGAUCGGAGCGAUUUUGGAGGGAGAGGAGAUUCUGAGACGGGNGGGGGGGGCGGAGGCGCCGAGGCUCAGAAAGGUGGCGGUGGCCUACGCGUGGGGCCCUCCAUUACACGUGGCGAAGUUUCAGUGGUGGAGCAUGUCCCUGUGGUCUCGUUACGUGCGGUUGAGGAUGUUCCGGUGCACUUGUCGCGCUAAGUUGGGUCCCACCGUAGACCGGUGGACCGCGGACCGUGGACCGUAGAACGUGCCUUGUGGUUUACGUGGGGACGGGGUGGAGUACUCCUUUUUGGACACCACGUUAAAAAAAAAAAAAAAACUGUGUUAUUUAUAGCCUAAUCAUUUAUUAUACUUUUAUUAUUCUAUUUAACAAUAAUAUUUUAUGAUAAAAUAAAAUUAUAAAAUAGUAAAGUAAAAGUAAAUAAAAAAAAAAGAGUCACUGAAACUCAUUAAUUUUGUUCGUUUUGUACAAAUAUAGUAAAAAAAUUUCUCAAUUAUGGAUAAGAAUUUUAUAAUAUAUUUUUUUCAUGCAUAACAAGAAAUUUGACUCUCUUAGAAGCCUUAUAGAUGACAUAAGAUUACGAGAGUUGUAGUUAGGCCAUCAAAUUCAACACAUUAUGAAAUUUUGUCAUUCAUCUUACAUCUUAUAUAAAUUCCAAAUUGCAAUUUUGUAAGUUUUUUAUUAUUAUUAUUAUUAUUAUUAUUAUUUAUUUGCAUGAAAUGACUCUUUUCUAAACUAAUGACUUUUUACAUUUGGACAAAGUUAGGGACUUAAGUCACUGUAAUGGCUUUUUUUAUUUUCUACAUUAAUUUAUUAUUGUAUUUGACUAAUAAGGACUCUUUCAUUUUUUUGAAAAAAAAAAUUUAAAAAGUAGUUUUCUAACUGAAAAAGUAUUUUUUUGUACUUUGGUUACUAAAGAAAGUAGUUAUUAAAAAAAAUCAUAUUUAUAAAAAGGUAGUGGUUUUAUUUUCAAAAAAAAAUUAUCAAAAAAUAAAAAUUAUGAAAAAUAAUAUUUUUCAUAAUUUUUUUUGAAAAAUAAUAUUUCAUGCUUUUCCGAAGAAACCAAGAUGCCGUAAAAGAAUAAAAAGUUUAGUUCUUCUAGUUUAGUCACAUAGUGCUCUUAUUAGAAAUUUCUACUUUCAUUACUUGAAAAGCACUUUCAUUAUAACGAAUAAAAACACUAGCAGUUUAACUCUCAAUAUAUAAUUCUAGUCGCAUAACACAAACUCUUCUUCAGAAGCUUUAGCUGAACUAAAUAAAUUCAAAAUUUGAACUCAUAAUUGCUUGUUUGAAAAGCUCUUCUAGAUGCUCACUGCAUGCAGGAAAUGAUUUGAAAUAGAUGAUAGAGAAUCUUGACUUUAUGCAUCAUUUUAUUUAAUCAAAUGCUUUCUCACUAAGCACACCAUCCCUUUAAUCAUCACUCACAUGUGUAUCCCUAAAAUAUGUUCUAAUCAUUGGUGCUAAUGUGUUUAAAUAUUUUCCACUAUAUAAAGAGUAGCUCAAAGAUCACAUUCUAGCUUUCUCCUACCUACAAGUAUUCGUAGUCUAAACAAGUACAUUAUGUAUAGAGAGAGAUGAGCUUUUAUAUUUUUAAAAGUAUAAGAGUAUUUGUGAUUGCAACUUUUUAGCUAUCAGAUUGUCUCAUAAUCCGUGCAGUGCUAUUAACAGUGUGUCCUGUUAAGUCUCUUUUACUAGAGCUGUAUGAAUCUUGUCGUAAUCCGACGUCUAAAAGGUUACAAAUAUGUUGAGCUCCUAUCCUUUUAAGAGACAAUUUCAACUCUCUCUCUCUCUAUAUAUAUAGCUAGCUAAAAGAGUUUAUGGUGCGUGCCGCGUGCCUAAAGUAACGCUUUUGUUGCAUGACUAUUAAUAUAUAUAAUAAUUUGUUUCGUUUUUAAUAACAGCUUCUUUGUUCAAAAAAAGCAUUAGCAUUGGACUAACAAAAUAUAUAGAUUUCUGCUGCAAAUAGAAUAUAUAUUGAAACGAGUUACUAGUCUUCAAAAAUCAAUAGUUAUAAUUUUAAAAUUUUUACUUACUCUUACUAUAGUAAAAUGUCAUUAAUUAAGUAUUUUCAUGAAGGAUUAUUAUUAGUAGCAUCAUUGUAAAGCAUACCAAUAUUUAAUAAAUAAAAACUAUGUCACAUUGCCUUUAUAUGGUAACUUCUCUAAUUGAUUUUUACUUGUUUCCAAAACAUAUAUAAUAUAUCCAUUAUGUCAUAACUCCUCCUCAUGCAAGGAAAAUAAAUCAAAUGAAUCAACACCUAAUUUAAGAAGUUGGUGACUUGGUGCAAAUUGUAGCCAAAAAUGGUUGAGUAAUAAGUCAAUCUUGUACAUGAAUCCCUUCUACUUUGAUUACUUGCUAUGCAUUAAUAAUGCAAUCAAUUUAAAUUGACUAUUGAGACAAUCUCAUGAGAAAUCUAAUAUGGAAUUGAGUCUCAAGUCAAGAAUAAAAUUUUUGUUCUCAACUCAACCUUUUUUUUCAGUAGUCAUUAGUCGAAUUGAGCAUGAAUAAAGCAAUCUGCAGUUCAGAUCACAACAAUCUGUUCGAUUAUUGUAUUUCUGUAUCCAAUUUUUAAGAGAAUAAAAAUUUAGUAACUUACGUAACAUCAGAAGCUGUAAAAAUAGACGAUAACAUUUAGUCGAGAAAAACAAAAAAUUUUUAUAUCCAACCUCUGUUUUGGUGUGAAUCAAUAAUUGAACACCAUGAUAAACUUGUCCCCAAAUCAUUAUACAAAUAUUUUUUUCAGCAUUAAUAUUUUUUAAAAAAUAGUAUUUUUAUUAUUAUCUUAUCGGAUCUAAUUCAAAUCGGACCGUAGAUCUAGAACGGUUUUGCACAACUCACGAGCCGACCCAAAUCAACGGCUCUGAUCACGAGCGGCGCAUCGAAGCCCCACUCAUUACUUGUACAUCCCCCUUCUUCUACUACUACGUCGCUCUAGAUCGUAUUCUCCUCCAUCCACAUUUCCUAGAGAGAGAAAGUGCGAGAUCGAUCUUUAGAGAGAGAGAGAGAGAGCUCUUCUGAUGCUGCGAUCCAUCAUCGUCUCGAGAUCUCAGGUGCGAUUCGACAGCUCCAUCCUUAGUUUUGAUCUUAAUUUCUCCUGUUUCUUCGUUUGAAUCGCGCCAAUGAGUCCGAUCGCUGAGAAUUUAGGAAGCGAUGUUCGUGAUAUGAGCACUUUGAGCUCUUUUACGAGAUUCUUAUGGAGUUUUGAGCAUUCCCGGACGAUCGCGGGGAUUUGAACUCUGUUUACGAGAUUUUUAUCGAUUUCGAAGAAUUAAAGGUGGUGUUUAGUGGAUAAUAAUUGCGUGGAUUUGAGCUUUUUUACGAGAUUUUUCACGGCAUUUUGUGCAUUUAGAAGAACUAUAGGUGCUAAUUUCGUAAUUAACGCUAUUUUAGCUGAUAAUCGCGUGGAUUUUGAGCCUUUUUAGGCAAUUUUUCAUGGAAUUUUUAGCUUUCCGAGCGUAGGGAAGCUCCGAUCGAUCUAAUGCUGAGAUAACGAAAUUGUAGUAAAUUUUAAGCCAUAUUAAACGUGAUUUAGGAUCAAAUUAUACGAAAUAACUGUAAAUAAACUUGUGAAUUACGCGACAUUAAGCGUAAUUUAGGAAUCAAAUUAUACGAAUCAUUAUAACUCGUGAAUUGUGAUAGUGAAGCGCAUCUGAAGCUACUAGAAAAAAACUCACUGCCGCAUCUCUAAGCGUUUCCCAUGGGUUUCGCGUUUCCCAUAAGCCAUUCCGUUUCGUGGGAAACUCGUUCCCGUUUCCUUCUCGACAGUGUUCGGGGAAUCGGGUUUUAAUUUAGAAUGAAUGCCCAAAUGUCAAAAAAAAAAAAAAAACUUCAAGUUUUAUAGUUAAUUAAUAUAAUAUUUAAUAUUAUAUUAUAUUUAAUUAUUUUGAAAAAUAUAUAAUAAUUCCGAUAAAAAUUAUUAUGUUGGCACUAAACCAUAUUUGCCAUGAAACACCAAAUCUUGUCGCAUAACAUUAUUAAAAAAAAAAAUUAAAUCAUUACAGUGUCAACUGUCAACCACUAUGGCACUAUCUAAUCUAUUAAUGUGAUGCAUGGGAAAAUCAAUCUAUAAGAUUAGAGGUUCGAACGUAUAAUAACUAAAUUAUAGAUCAAAGUACCAAGGUUGAGCUGUUUAGUUUCUUGAAAAAAAAUAUAAAAAAAAAUUUCACAGGAAAAAAGUUGUUAUGAAAAUAUUUUUUUUAGUUUUUUGUUCAUUUAGUUCUAAAAAAAAGUUUUUAUGAAAGUUUUUUUUUCCAUUUUUUACGAAAAAUUAGUGUUUACAUUUAAAAAAAAAAUCUGAAAAUUAAAAAUUCUAGUUUUUCGUGAAAUAUGGAUUUUUUUUCUUUCAAAAUGCUUAUUUUUCUUUAAAUUAAAUGAGCGAAAAUUGAAAAAUAAAACUUUUCUCUUGAAUUUUUUUUUUUUUCUGUUUUUGGAAAAACCAAACAGGGAGUAAUAACGGUGUGAUUCGGCCAUGAUUAAUUCUUUUUGCUAGGUGUAUGAUUUACCGGGAAACGCGUUUCCCGGUUUCUUCUCCGGAUAAUAACCUUGGGAUGUUUGUUGGGACGUGCCUCUCCCUUCACGUUUCUCGUGAACUCAUCUCCUUCUCGAUGGGCCCAACUUUGAGAGCUUUUGAUGGCUAAGGCCCAACAACUAGAAGCUACACACCAAUCCCAUCCACCGUUUUUGACCGUUCGUUUUGAUUUGAUGGACGGAUGAGAUUGUCUUUCUUGUUAGCGCUUAAUUAAGAUUCCAAUGGGGGGAGGUGGGGAAUGGCUUGGUCCCUUGUUAUUGAUAAGCAGCUUUUUGAACCCCUUUUUUGUGGGCUCGUUUUAGUUUUCGUCAGUCGCUAAUAAAAGAAAAGGUUGAGAUGAAAAGGCAAAAAGAGAGAGUGCAAUGAGUCCCCCCAAUUAUUAGCUCUCGUGCGUCUCUUUUAAGUUCUCAAAUCUCAACCCAUAUAUAGAGUCCACAUCAACAAAGUUCCUCUCUCACACCAACUCUUUAAAUUCUCAACCCCACUAAUCAUAGCUAGCGCAGUUAGUUAAUUAUAUUCAAAGCUUAACUAUUUUACUAGCUGAAUUCAUUUUUAGAUAAUGCUUACCCGCUUUAUGUUUAAGGGUGAUAUCAAACUGAUUGUUGAUAUUGAUAGUAAAAGUUUUUUUCCAUUUAGCCGUCUGUUUGUUUUCUGGAUAGCAUUGAUCACUAUUACUAUUAUGAGACUUUUGAGAGUCGUGACGGCCGACAGAGAACCAAGCUUCCCGGUAGGGAGUAAGGCGUGUGAUCAAGAAGCUAUUAUAAGAAUUUACUAUAGAUAUUUUUUCUAAUAUUAAUUUCUGAAUAACACUUUAUCCAACAACACACAUCCGUAAUCGAUUCAUACCAAGCGUGUGAAUAGAGAAGCAAACACUGUUUUUCUUCAUGUUCUAGAUCUCUCCUCUUUUUCUCUCUCUCUCUCUCUCUCCCCCUCUUUUACUACUCCAUGUGCUCUGCAUGUGGGGGUUUUUGGAACGGUCCAUUACGUUCUCUAGCCCUUGCCACAUAUUCAUCCGAAAUGUUCGAGUUGUUCUUUCUCUAUGCGUGCUCCUGCAACGAACAAAUAUUCUAAGUCAUGUUGCAAAGGUAUAAGGUAAUUGCGCACUGGUGAAAAAGCAUACACGUACACGUUGCAUUCACUUGAUCUAGGCAUUAGAGCCAUGUGACAUGCACGUUGCAACUAGGAAUACACACAUAUACAUAAUAUAUACAAUUGUUCCAGCGUAUGCAUGUUACUAGUACUAGCUAUAUGUAUAUAACAUGAUCCUAAGCAUUUCGAUGAGAUUCGGUGGGAUGUAAUGUAUCCACUCUCUGACAUACAUGCAUGUGAUGUGGUUGCGAAUGUCCUUUAGCUAUUUAUGUACAGAUUCUGAGAAGCUUAAAUAGUUUAUUGUUUUUUACUUUUCUUUUUUACCAUAAUACCUUACAAAACCCUUUUAUCUUCCAAGUUAGAAGUGUUAUACCUAAUAAUUGUACGGUGUUAAUGCUUUACCUAAAAAAUCGGUCCAGUAAUAAAAUUUCGUCUUAAUGUGAAAUCAAUCUAGUAGAAAAUGAUAUAGAAAAACCAAAUAUGGUACGUCAAUAAUACCGCAUUAUUUGCAUUUGCAUCAAUCAUAAUACAGGGUAAUAAUAUAUUCUGUCCAUAUCUUGCCUUUUAGACCUCCUCAAAGAAAAAUGAUUUCUCGGACUACCCUAUUGGCUUUUAUUUAUUUUAUUUUUAUUAUUCUUAAUUAUUAAUUAAUAAAUUUUACAACUAGUGAUUAUAUUAUGCUCUAUAUUUUUAGUGGCUUUAUCCUCAAUGGCCAGUAUGAUCUGAUAAGUUUGUUAAUAAAUAAAAUUCCUAAUUCACUUAGCCAGUAUCUAAUAAAGUUGUUAAUAAAUAAAUUUUCUAAUUCACUUAGGCUGUUAAUAAAAUUUCGAGAAAAAAGUUUUUCAUGAAAAUUUUCUUUUCAGUCUUUCCUCCGUUCAGUUUUUUUUAAAAAAAGUGAUUUUUGAAAUUUUUAUUUCAAAUUUUAUGAAAAACUAACAUUUUCAUUCAUAAAAAUAUCGAAAAACAAAAACAUCAAUUUGUCAUAAAAUUCGAAAAAUAAGUUUUGAAAAAAGCUAUUUUUUUUUAAAACCAAACGGUUAUAAACCGAAAAAAAUAUUUCCAUGAAUAAUUUUUUCUGAAUUUUUUUUCCCACACUUUCUCGAUGAGCCAAACACCCCCAAUAUAGCCGAAAUAAUAGAAUUUAAAUACACUUAUUAUUAUUAGAUAUCUAUUACAGAAAAAGGAAACAAUUUUUUUUAUUAUUUAUUAAAUACUCUUAAUUAAAUAAAUGACUAUUUUUUAUUUAUUAUUUAUUAAGGUAGUGUUUGGUUCGGGUAUAAAUAAGAACUAGCUAUUACAGGAAUAUGUAUAAGUAUGGGGAUAAGAAAAAUAACAUUCGAAUGAAAAUUGGGUUGUUUCCAGGAAUAAGAAAAAUAACAUUUGGAUAAAUAAUAUGGAAUAAAAAAAAUAGUGAAUGGUUAUAUAUAAAAAAUAGAGGUAUUGGUGGAAAUAGUUAUACCCGAUUAUUUUAGAUAAUCAAAAAUUAUUAUUCUCCAAUAAAAAAUUAACAUUUAGAUAUAAAAAAAGUGUAAGAAGUUAUUCCACCCCUUAUCCCUAAUCCAAAUGCUGCCUAAAGCCCCCGCUUAACUCCAAAGCCAAGGAUGGAGGAUGGGAUGGGCCACGCCCCUUCGUCACGUGGGUUGCCGGUCUCCAUUUCUGACCCAAAGAAGAAGGACAAAACAGCUUUCCUCCUCUCCUUUUUUUCCUUUCUUAAAAAUAAAAAUAAAAAUAAAAAAGAAAAACGAAAAGCCCCGGUCUCAGCCGUAGCAAAUCGACAAAAGGGGAGCGAAGCAGCAAAAGCUACUGUAACUUCUUGUCAUUUUGCGUCCCCACUUCCCCCGCCAAAUUUUCAAUAAAAACAGAGGGAGAGGGGUCUCUCUCGCGCCACGCAAAUGCGUGGUCGCCCCACCACAAAAUUAUAUAACGUCGCAACUUCAAUAAUUUUUUCACUUAAAUUAAUUCUUAUUUUACUCUUUCAUGUUUAUUUUUCAAAAAAACUUAACUUUAAUAUGAAUAAUAAAAAUAAAUAAAGUAUUCUUCCAUUGUGUAAUUAAAAUUUUUUAAAAAAAAUUAGGUAUUUUCUGAUAAUUGUAAAGUAAUAAUGUAUAUGUCUCUUAAGUGAAAUUACAGGGAUAGUACAGCUAAUAAUAAUAAUACUAUUUAUACAUUUUGGCCACUUUUAUUUAUUAGACAAACAUCCUAAUCAAUUAUACUACCUAAAUUGUGCGGAAACUAUAAUAUGGUAAGCAGUGAUAAUGUCACCCGAGCACCUCCCUUAUUUGCAUAUAGAGGAGUGUUAGCUUAUAGCAUUAUUGGGUAGAGUAUGAAAAGAAAGGAGUGGAAAUAUCGAUGUAGGCGUAUAGAGAAUCAGAGAUAGAUACUGUAUAUAUAUCGCACCUACCGAUAGUUAGAGCGGUGUGUGAUUGCGAUUGUAGACACCAUAGGUGGUGUCGGUGAUAUCCAUGCCCACUGUUGGGCUCAAACAGCUCAAUCUCAACAAUGUGAUUUUGGUUUCUGAGGUACGGAAUAACUUACAAUUUUCUCUUUUCUCUUUUUUUUUUCGUUUAUUUUUUAUCCAAAGUAGAUAGUUUGAUGUUUUCUACUCUUUUAUUUUAGGUAAGUUUAUUGUUUUUUGCUCAAAAAAUUUGAUUUUGGGAUCUGGGUAUGAGUGCUCUAAGCAAAUUGUGAACUUGGGCUUCUGUGUUUUUUCUGUUUUUAAAAUUUUGAGAAUUGAUGUUAUGUACCGUAACGCGGGGGAAUUCGCUGGACCCAAAUGCUUGGAAAAGUAGUUAUAGUUUGUAAUCUCAUGGAAAUGAAUUUAGUUUGUGUGUGUGUGUGUGUGUGUGUUUUUUCUUUUUUUUUUUCUUUUUGCUCUUUUGUUGUAGGAAAAAACGGGUUUGAAUUUGGUAUGGACAUAUAUAUGUGGAAAGGAUGCAGCAUUUUCUAUUUGAUUUUGUACAGCAAUACUUUUUGCCUUACAUGAGACUCUAUACAAUAAAAUUUCCAUUUUGUAUUAUUAGCUUUUUGCCCUUUUUGACCCUUUAGUUGUUGGAGUUUUGGCUGUACGUUGACUCUUCUGUUUAUUCCAACACGACUUCGUUCUUAUUUAGAUAAUUCGGUCACUUUAAUGUUCUCUUGUUUCUUAUAGAUACAUUGAGCUUUGAAGCUGAAAAAGGUGCUUACAACAUAUUGUAAGUUGCUCACUAAGAGGAUUAUGACCAAUUUUCCCUUUCAUGUAGGCAUUAUCUCAUAUCUGAUAUUUUGUCAUUAGCAGAAUAAUUUCUUUUUACAAUCAUGUGAUGAGAAUUUAUAACCAAAUUAUUCUUGUAGUCUUAACUCUUGUCUCGUAAAGCUUCAGCUAUUAUGCUACAACCAGUGAAUGUGUCUGGUUUUCAUUUUGUAGGAUUGAUCUGUGGCUUCGGAAAAAUAUGUUGCUUUGGCAUAGUAGUAUCCGAAGACAUUGAGCUAAAUUGCCUGAUAUAGGAUGGCUACCGAUGUUGAUCAAGCCUAUUUUUCAUGGUCGCAGGAGGAAUUAAAUGAUAGAAAUAAUUCUCAAGUAAAUCUCUUUCCCUUACUUAAAUUGUUUACUUCGUUAUUUCACUGGCCAAAUUGCUUCAGUCAUUUCCUUGGCUGGUAAUUGGGAACAACCCUUAAUUAAUGGAAAAGUGAAGCAAUUAUUUAUGUAUAAUACCUUCUAUAGUUGAACAUUCUACAGUUCAAAAACAGUGCCAUUUACGAGUGCUAUUGAAGUUUUACUCUUAAUACUGUUAAAUAUCAAGUUUAAAUUAUUGUUAUAUUACAGGAUUAUAUUUAUAUAAAAUUCAGUUCUGCUGGUGUACAGUGUAUGAAUCCUUUCCCUGAAAGCUUAUGACCAACAAAUUACAACUAUACUGUAAGCCAUAUCUUAGAGUUCUGCAUAUACAAACAUCUCAAAAUCAGUAACAAAGUGCAUAAGAAAGAAAUUUGACACCUUUUCUCACCUUUUGGCAAGUGAUACCCAUUUCCAUUAUUCACAUUUUGAAAAUAGAUUCUUUUCUUCAAAGUGUGGGCUCCAUGGGACACUAAAGCCUUGUCAUAGUAAAGAAGAAAGGAAUUUCUUGUUGGACUGGCAUUGAGUGUAGCAGACCCGUUAAGGGAAUAAGUCUUCCUUUUUUUCGUUAUGUGGAACUUGAUUUCUUAUAUAAAUAAGUUAAGUGAAUGUUGUGCUGUUAUAGCUUUCUUAGUAAUACUAAGCUUGGAUACAAAAAUUGCUUCUUUUAUCUUAAUUUAUGAUUUCAAUGAUUGUUUCUAGCAGUUAACAUUUUUUUAUUAUCUAUUUAAUUUGUCAAACUGGUUUUCAGGGAGUUUCGGUGUCUCAGAUGCUUGACCAUGGUUCCAUAUCUUUUGGACGAUUCGAGUAUGAGUCAUUAUCAUGGGAAAAGUGGUCGGUAUUUACACAUAACAGGCGUCAGGAAGAGCUGGAGAAGUUCAAUGGAUUGGUUGCCCAAAAGAAGGCAUAUUUCGAAGAAUACUAUAGAAGGCUUCGAGCGUUAAAGGCUUUGCAACAGCAGCAACAACAGCAAGAGAACCAGCAAACAGAACUUACUUUGGAUUACAGUGGUGAUGGUAGUAUUUCUAGCCAGAAUGGAGAGGACGAAACAACUUCACAGCUUGAAAUCAUAAGAGAUGAGACACAAAACGUUACUGAUGCUGAAGAAGCUAUUUCUGAGAAGCACUUUGAGCGGGAAAUAAACUACACUGAAGAUCCUGGAUGUAGAAACUUGGACCAAGCAUUUAUAUCAUCAGGUUCUGCUUCAUUGAGUAGAAACUUCGAGAAAAUUGAGCAGGAAAGGGACUCAAAUAAUGUACAAUAUAGUCAACCGCUUAUUGUGAAAUCCCUCAAAUCAUUGAAAACCUCCAAAGAGAUCGAGGAAAAUGAUGGACGUAAUCUCGAAGGAGAAGAAAUCAACAGGUUACAGCUGAAUCCAAAUUCAAAUCUUGAGAAUGGAGCUGCUUCGCAUCAGGCUAUGUUGAGCUGUACAGAUUCUAUUUCUAGAGAUGAUGACUCAAAGCUUAGGCUGCCUAGCAAAGCAGUGGCAGAGACAGUCAAAUUGUCAUCUAAGAAAACUGCGGAUCGUAAAUCAGUUCCUAAGGUAAAAGUUUUGUUAAAUUUGGAUAUCUUCUUGGUAUGCCUGCUUUUGAUUAAUCUAAUAGAACUAACCGGUUAACUUCCUUUGCAUUUUGUGGCCCCAUUUAUGGUGCUUGGCUACUUGAAUCAUCUUUCGUCAUUAAGUUCAAUACUUCUAAAUGACCUUUAAUCAAGGAAACAUUCAUAAUCUACUUUUAUGCAUUUUCCAUUAAUUAUGUGGUCCUCUCCCUACUGUGGUGCUUUCCAAGUAGAAUCACUUCUUUUUAUCCUUUGCACGACAUAUCCUACCCCUAAAAUAUCUGAACCUUCUUAAAUUAUUUUCAUAGCAUCUAGCCAAAAAUUGAAGCUAAACCAGAUAGUGGUAUUAUUUCCAUUUUAUGUGGUAACGUGUGCUUGCCUUGACCCAUUAAGAACUGUAGAUUCAGGUGGCUCGCCAAAUUGAACAUAUGUCAUCUGGACCCACCUGAUAUCGAGAAAGAAUUCUUGGCAAAAUUACUCUUUUUAAUCAUUUAAUCAUGUUUAUUGCACAUACAUUUUCUACUGAACAUCACCAGUGAGUACCAGCUUGAUUUAGUUAGGACCAUUACAAUAAUUCGAAGAAAGCAUCCAAGUGUACAGGACAUCAAUUAACUACUAGAUUUUCCAUAUUGGAUGAUUUGUCAUUAUUUCAUCUGGAGUUUCUUUUCUUUUCUUUUCUUUUUUUCCAGGCGCCUCCUCCUCCUGUUCGAUCUUCUGCAUACUUGAAACAAAAAUUCAGGCCAGACUCCGUUCAAUCGUCUGAGAAAGCAAGCAAACCAGUUCAAAAGCCAGUUGCCAAGUCGGACAAAACAAACAGUACAGCAAAAGAAGCUACAAUGAGAGUCAAAACUACCAACAGAGCUACUUCAGUGACUUCAUGUAGAACAGUCAAGGAAAUGCAAUGCAAUAAUAGUACCACCCCACGUCCACUUUCCGCUCCCAGAGAAAGAAAAGCUGGCAUAAGAGAAACCAUAGGGAAAAUGGAUUUCAAAACUGCUAAGGAACCGCAAUGCAAUAAUACUUCCACCCCGCGUCCACUUUCCGCUCCCAGAGAAAGAAAAACUGGCAUCAGAGAAAGUGCGGCGAAACUGGAUUUCAAAACUGCGGAGGGUGGCCCAAAUAUGCAGGUUAGUUCGUGCCAAUAAUUUUGCUGCUUGUUCGCAGCUGAUAUUAAAACAAGGAGCCUUUACUCAUAUAUCCAUUCAAAGCAUCUAUUUUUCAUUUAUGUCUCCUGUUUCAUUGAUGCUUCCUUUGUAAAUAUCCAAUUUCCACAGGUUACUCCAAAGAAGAUACCAGCACCAAGUGCUGUUAAAACUAGUAGGCUGGAGUCAAAAAGGUCAAUUUCACCUGUUGAAGAAAUGAUUUUAGUGAAAAUUCUAAUUUUCUAUCCUAGAUUCUGAUGUUAUUCUCCAAACGUGUUUUAAUCAGGGACUACAAAGUAGUAAAAGAAACUUCAGCAUUAAACAGGGUACCUACAGGCUUGAAGAGAACGGAAGACAAUGUGCUUGGAACACCAAAAUCGAGGUAACAUUAAGAGCUUGAGCAUCUCAUGAGUUUUCGGAAUAGGUCGUUGUUACAGCAUUACCAUUCCACUAUGUACUGCCAUAAUUUUCAUUAUCGUAUCUCUGCUGAUUUUGAAGUCAUUGCGCAGGCUACAUUUUUUUUUAAAUCAUUUAUUCAAUCUAGUAGCAUUUUUUUUAAAAAAUUUAUCAAUGCCCAGGUCGAUUAAUCUCCCUCCAAGGAAAAAGUCUAGUCACAGUAGUGGAACAGAUCAAGUUACGGAAAACUUCACAAGGAACAAACAAGAGGUAACUAGAAUGGUGAUUCUCUUGCAGCUGAUCUUCAGCAUUUUAGAUAUUUAAAGUAUGCUAAUGGACAUUUUGUGUAGGAAAACAAGGAAGCAAAAUUGAUGCAAUCUCGGUGGCCUUCAAGAAGUACUACUACCCCUUCACUUACAGGAAGCUUAAGGACAAGCACCCAAAAGGUAAACCUUGUUCAGUGUUCCCAACUGUCGAUUCCCAUAAUUCCAGGAGAAUCAUAUACUAUUAAAAAUGGUAUUACUAGAUGGCAGAAAUAGCACUUUAAUCUUAAACUUUGUGUCACUCUCUCUCUCUCUUUUUUUCUUUUUUUUUUUUUGCAUAACUACUUCGUCUCAUCUCAAAUGCACCUCGUUUGUCCGACCUUUUAAUCGUUACAGCAAGAUCUCUAACAUUUAUAUUCCAUGGCAUUCUUAACUAUUUUCAUUGAAUUAAUCAUCAAACAAUAUAUGUAUAAUUACAGUAUGGGAAUUCAAAGUUUCUCACAUUGUAGUUAGACGACAAUUGUAACCAUGCCAAGGCUAGGGACCUUAUUGUAACACUUGAAAGGUUGGGACAUUAAGAGGUUGGGACUCCUGUGGCACAAUUCACCCUCUUUUUCGCUAUUGUCACAAGUAUAACAUUACGCCUUUAUAAAGGUUCUCAUAUAGGCAUUAUCUUUUGUUUGAUUUUAAUAUAACAGCGAUUUUGUUACCUCAGGCCGGUGAUCUACCACGCUUUGGGAGUAAACCACAAAUCAAGAAUCCGUCUCUCAACGGAAGGAAGCCAAAGUACUUCACUCUAAACACCUGAUGAUUCUUUUCUCUGCCUUUUGCAAAAAUAUAGCCGAUUUUUAUCUCUGUCGGCAACUUUGGACCCAAAAUAUCUUUUUCGGUGCUGAAAUGACCGCCGCUUAUUUUAUAACGAAUCCUAGACAAAAAAUAAAUUUCAACCAAGGGCAUUCUGAUCAACGAAAUGAUAUUUAUUUUUGCAAAAUGCCCUUUCUCCCUUGCCAUUAAUGAUUACCCCAAUGAUAAUUCGGACUAAAGACCAUAUGAUACAUUUGUUAUAUACAGGGUAGAGGCACCGCAAUGGCGAUAACUCGUCCGAAGAUGAGCAAUGGACCUGUAAAGAGAAAAAUGGCUCCAUCACACCUUUCUCUUCAUUACAAGUUUGCGACGCGACCUUAAGAGUAAUAUGUGGAUCUUCAAUCUUGUUGUAUGAUGUGCUGUAGCAUCUCUCUGCUUUGGGAGCUAUUGGUUUACCUGCUUCUGGUGAUCUAAAGAACUGCUCCCUCCAUGUCAAAAGAGAUUUCAAUAGUUCUGUAUAUACCAAAACUAAUAGGGCCAAAUAGUAUGGAGGCUGUCUCAUUACUGCAUCUUCAAGUAUGGAAAAAUUGUUAGAAUUUCCUAGUUGCUGUGAUCAGUAAGUUUUGUUGUAAAGCAUCUGUUUCGCUUAGCUGUUAUUUUUGCUUUCAACUGUAGUCGUUCGUUAAUAAUGAUAUAAAAAUUUUAAUUAGUUUAUGCUCGUAAUCCUACUUGUCAUACAAGUUGUCAUUCGUCUUUGAUAGAUAUAUUUUUUUGACUGUGUUGUAAAAGUAAGGAUUUAAAUGCUGUGGCACGGGUUGGAAACUUGCCGGUACGAUGUGUGCCGAGUCUUGUCGAUGCGUGCCGGUUAAAAAAAAUUUUUAUGUGCCGACACAUAAUAACAUGAAAUAUUUAUUUUCUUUAGCAACAAAAUAUUCUAACUAUUUAUUAUGUCUUUUUAUCAUAACUUUUAAAUUUUAUAUUGGAAAAAUUACAUAUUAAUUUAAAGAAUAGAUGAUUUUGAGCUGUGCCAUUGGUAUGAGAUCUGUAUCGUGCCGGUAUUUUGUUGGCACGGUACGACACGGUGGAUACGAUCCGUGUGGACAUGCAUUUAAAAUUUUGUGUAAAAGAAAAAAAAAAUUAUAACAUUAUUUAAACUUUAGAUUAUCAUUUCUCUUAACUGUACUUAUCGUAUACAAAAUUCAUGCGUAAUCUAUGAACCCAUAAGAAUUAAAAUUUGACACGUCUCCUUUUAAAAAAAAAAAAAAAAUGACACGUCGUCUCAACAGAGGUGGGUAAGCGUGUGAAACACAAGUCCUUUUGAAUUACUUGUCCGCAUAAUUCUCCACGAACGAACUCAUAAUCACGUGGCUUCGUCCUAAGGAGCCGGCCCUUCCGCCGUUACGAUUUCGACACGUGUACCCUUCCCACCACCGCCGCGAAAUACUUAAGGGCUCUAGAACAAUCUCAUAUCCCCAAACUACCCCCGUAGUCCACCAAACCCCGUCGCUCCACGAGACCCGUAAUGAGAUAAAAGCUUGAGGGCAUUUACGUAAUUUCGUAUAUGAGUAUUUUGGUUUCGUAGGAAAGCGUGGCGAAAGCGUUGCUGGUCGACGAGUUUUUUCUUCUGCUUCUUCGCGGAGAGGAGAACCAAACCCUAACCCUAACCCUAGAUCUCUCUCUCUCUCUCUCUCUCUCUCUCUCUCUCUCUCUCUCUCUCUCUCUCUCCAAUGGCGUCGUUCGCGGAGGCUCCCCCCGGUAAUCCCAAAUCGGGCGAGAAGAUCUUCAAGACAAAGUGCGCCCAGUGCCACACCGUCGAGAAGGGCGCCGGCCACAAGCAAGGUACUCUCUAUCUAUCUCUCCAUCUGUGGGGAUUUAUUCGUAGUUGUUUCCUUUUACCUGUUUUUGAUGUGUAUUUCAUAAUUUUGCCUUGGCAAUUGUUGAUCUUGCCCCAUGAUUAGAUCUAGCUUGUUUUGUUGUCGUUUUUAUGGUUUUAGAUCGUGAUUUGUUACAUCUGGAUCCUGGACUACUUGUUUUGGUUCUGAUCGAUGGGUUCGAUCUGCUUUUCUUUGUAUAAUAUUGGUUGGAAUGGAUGAAUACGUGUCGAGUUGGCUUAAGUAACGUGCGAAUUAAAUGUUGCUCUCGUUGUUUAAUGGUUUAAUUAAUUAGUGGUUCGCAACAAAUUGAAUCUUUUCUGUCUCCUCUUUAAUGAAUCACAUUGUUAAUCACUAGAAAAAGUUGAAUCUUUAGCAGUGUUCGCGGUAUUCUUAACUUUGGUGAUUUGAUAAUUGGUGAAGUAAAAUUGUUGGUUUCCUGUGCAUAGCGAUUAUCUUUCAUUGUAUGCACAUCGGUUCCAUUUUUGGUGUAUAUUAGGUUGGUAUGAUAUUAACUUGUGUCUAGUAAAUUAUGCGAUAUGGUGUUUUCGUCAGGUCUUUAUAUGCAUAUCUCCUUGAUGUGUUUUUUUGCUAAUCUUUUGUUGAAAAUGAUAUUUAUUUAAUUGUUGGCAAACAUUGAACUCUAUUCCUGAUGAUUGUAUUGGUGCCCAUAGGACCAAACUUGAAUGGACUGUUUGGUAGGCAAUCGGGGACAACCCCUGGUUAUUCCUACUCCACUGCGAACAAGAACAUGGCUGUGAUUUGGGAGGAGAAUACAUUGUAUGAUUACUUGCUUAACCCUAAGAAGGUAUUGUUUCCUCUAUAACAUCCAUAGUUACUGUUUUUCCCUUAAUUAGCUUGAGGUCGCAUUGUCAUUAUAUUUCAUGUUCGAGUAGAUAUUGUGCAUUUUCUUCUCAAAUAUAUGGUGCAUGUGCUACUGAUGCAAAUCUGCCUAAAGAGAGACUUUUAAGAGUAUCGUGCAUUUUUUACGCAUGUCUUCCUUACUCUCUUUCCUUUUUCCAUUGGGUAUGUUUUGUUUUGUUUUGUUUUGCAGCUCUUUUCUUUAGAUCUAUGUGCAUGUGUGCAUAGUAUGCAAGUAUACACAUUUUCAUGUGUGCAUACUGCAUACUAUGCAAAUAUGCAUAUUUUCAUGUGUGCAUCGUAUGCAUGUUUUGAGUGCAGUAUUGUCUUAUGUAAAUUUGGUUCUUUAUCGCUGUUGUUCGUAUGGUCUCCAUAUGUUUCCUAUCUGGGAGGCCAAAUUUCUAGGAUAACUAUCACAAUGACAUUGUGGGUGAUGUAGUUAGACUCAAAUUUUUAAGGGCUUGUCAUUUCACCAAAGUGAACUAGCACUUGUUUGCUCCAAAUUUUGUUUGGAAGUCGCUAGUAAUCUUUGAUUUCCUCUGUUUACUACCUUCUAGUAUCAGCAGUGUCCAUUAACUACUGUAUUGCAAGAUUCUCUAGAUUUUCUUGUAUAAAUAUUCCAGGUAAUAGUAAGCACUCAUGAAGUAAGAUCUUCUGCCUUGUCAGUGAAAGCCUGAAGUUAGAAUUCACCCUCUUAGAGAUUCAAUCCUAUUCCCACUACUAUAUCAAGGGAUUAAGUUGGAUUGGUACUGUUUUAAGAGUUUUAAGUGAUGUCUGCUGACCUUGGUGUGGACAGUUGUGCUUUGUUAUCAUUAAAUAUUGUUUGCAAACCAACGGAUAACCUGCUGAAAAUAUCUUAAUAUGCACUUGGGAUGAAGUGCAGGAUUUUCUAAUAAAUUUGAUGGGUUAUCUGUAGGUUUUGAUUAGCAAGAGAAAUUUGUGAUGUUUCUAUAGGGACUCUCCUGUCUUUGAUCAUAGGCUCGAGACCUAAAAUUCUGAUUCUUGUAUGAAUCUCACAAUGAAUCUCACAAUGUAAUACACGUCCAUUUGCAUGUGCCGUGUUAUCUGUUCUUUUAAACCCGAUUGUUAUUUGUUUUAUGUAUUUGAAGGACAAAUGCAGCGGUUCAGUUAAUAUUUUGGAGUCGUCUCAUGUUAGUUUCCUCUCUGUGUGUGUGUGUGUGUGUGUGCAGUAUAUUCCUGGCACAAAGAUGGUAUUCCCCGGUCUGAAGAAACCACAGGAGCGUGCGGACCUCAUCGCCUAUCUGAAGGAAGCAACCGCCCCACAAUAAGCACCUUUCUUUGUUAUUCAACCUCCUCUACAGAUGCAAUUCUUUUUGUGGCUAAUAAGACCGUAAGGUCAUCCUGCUUUGUGCGAAGAAGCAGCGGAGCCUAUUGAACAAUCUUUAUUUUUAACAGUUUCUCUUUUUAAGUAAUAUUAGGCAUCACUUUGGAGUCAUUGCCUAAACUGAGCACAUUAUUCAUUCGAUGCAGAAUGUUUGCAUCGGCCUAUUCGGAAAUAGCCAUGCCCUGAUGACUUAGAUCGUAUCAUAUCAAACCGUUUUAUGACUUCGUUGAGUUUGUCGUGAGUUGUUGAAUCUGAGUUUCUCUUCCUUUCGUCCCUCUUGUGGUCAAAAUGAUGUGAUCUUGCUUAUUGGUGAAUGAUCCUGGUUUUUGGUUGUGUGGUGAUGAUUGUAGAAAAGGUGGAUUUUUGAGGUUUCAGCGAUAUUUGCUCGACCAUCCUGAUUUGUUUGCCUGAUUGCAAAUGGUGCAUCAAAAAGCUGCUCAAUCAGUAUUUUUGACCCAAUGUGCUCUUCUUGGUCAAUCGGAAAAAAAUUAGGGUUGCUGCUGCUAAAGAAUCGGUGGGGUUUGGAUGCAUAAGUAGAUAAGUUUGGCCUCUGUUUUGUAAGUGCACUUAAACAUACCAUGAAUAGUAUUGAUGCGAUCAAAAGUUGUUUAAUGUGCGACAAACGAAGUUUAAUACUGCAGUACUGCACUAACAUCAUGCAGGAGUUAAAAAAGCAGUAGUCUCGGCCUGGUAAAGCAUCAACUUUAGCUCAUGAACAUUAAUAAAUCAAACAAAGAAGCUUGAAUAGGAGGAAGGGAAAAAAACGAAAGAUCUUCUAACACAACAAAACAUCUACACAGAGUAGUAAGAUUUCUAAAAGAUGCUUUUCAACAGGCAAUGGUUCCACCACGGAUCAACUUCACAGUUUGUUGCUAUUUUUUUAAAUCUUUUUUUUUUUUCCCACUGAACUCUGAUUCUAAGUGGUGCGUGGUUGCUUGGGGAAGCGACGACACAUCCAAGGCAAAUUCUAAGUACUUAAUCUCUCUGUUCUUGUACAUUCAGUCUCUAUACAACACAUGGUAGUGAAAUUUCGGUAUCAAGAGAAGAUCACCACUGAACUGCAUUGUAGGAGAUAGUGAAUCAUUAUUUAUUUGUAAAUAAUAUUUUCUGGAAAAUUGUUUGCACUAUAUUAGAUUGCAUAAAAAAUAUGCCAGUGAUGUACAUUAGAUAUACACAGUUUUGGGGGGGCUACCAUUCACUUUACAUAUAAGGCCUUGGUGUGCUUCUAUUCAAUAUCUUUAAUUGCAUCCUGCACAAGGAGAGAUUACUGUUAUUAAUAUCGGCAUCCCAAAGGUAUAUUUGCAGAAAGAUCUUAAAAUGGAUAUCCCUGGUAGGGCCAAAGUUUUCAGAGGUAAACUUGUUAAACAAGGUGUAUUUGCACAAUUCUGUAUAUUUGUAUGUGUAUACAUAUAAAUAUGUGACAAAACAACAAUUGAAAUAAAGAGCAGGAAACAAAAAUAAACUAAAGAAAAUCAUGCAAAAGUGUACAUUAAUUAACUAGCUAAUUAGUGCAUAAAUAAGUACGUGGAGUUGAAAGCAAGCACCUUUGCAAGCCUAGUAACAUAAGUUGCAGCGACGGCUGUAAAUAGAAGGCCUAGGCCAAGAGUCAACAACUGACCAUUUCCUCCCGGUAAACCCACAUCUGACUCUUCUUGCUGAAAAGAUUAGGUGGAGUUAAAUAAUCAACUAACCCUAACGACAUUAAUUAAGUAUACGCCUACAGAUACCGAAUCUUUUUCACAAUCUAAGCGAAUUACUACAGGGGCACAGUGUUGGCAAAACCAAAACACUCUAGGAGGUAAUAAUAUGGAGUAUGCAUUAAGAUGUCAGCCAAGUACAAAAAUUGAUAACAAAUAGCUUCUUUUAGGAAUAAAUUUAAUUUCAGUUUGAGAACUGAAAAGGUUUCGCAACCAUUUUGGUCCUCGUUUUUACUGGCCUUUUAAUAUUACAAUGAACUAGAUGUGCUAUUACAAGGCUACAUUAAAGAAGCAAUAUUGUCUGUCUAAACCUUGUUUUUUCCUUUGAAAAUCCAAACAUAUUUCCUUAAAAAAAACAAUUACAGUGAUAUUUGUGUCAUCAACUUUUAGGCACCAAAUGGAGAGGCCACAGAUCAACAAAAUUUGCCAAAAUAUUAAGAAUCUUCAGGAUAAUGAACAUUCCAGACAUGCUGAUUAUGUGUACUCUUGUAGAUAAACAAUAAGAAUUACAGUACAAACUACAUGUACUGUAACACACAGUGAAGUAUAAUAGCCUCAAUUAAAAUCAAGAUUAGUAGCUUAACAAAUAUGUUAAGACAAGUAGGAUAUGCAAAUAGCAAUAAACUACUCAAAUGAAUCAACUUUCAGAGGCAUUCAACGAGUUCAAGCAUCUCAACAAGCAUCCCAAGGCACUAUACUAGUCUGGAAUCAUAUGAAGCCAUUAAAGCUAAGAUGUUAAAGACUUACAAUGAGUGCUCGUCCAAAUGCACCAGCACUAACAUAAGCCCAAGUCCCAGGAAGCAUCCCCAACCAACUGCGCAUCAAGUUGAUAAAUUUCUCACCAAUAAGAGAGACAGAACUCGAUAAAUAUAUAAACGUUUUAAUGGAAAAUCAGAAACCAACCUGCCCAAAACAUAAGGCAGAAACUUCACGGAAGUUAAGCCAUAGAGAUAGUUCCCAAGAGAGAAAGGAAGCAAAGGACUCAAUCGAAGAAGCGUAACGACCCAGAAACCAUUCUCCCCUAUUGCUUUAUCGAUUGCCAAAAAUUUCUUGUUUCCUUCGACCAAUUUAAGGAUACGUUCCCUGGCAAAAUACCUAGCGAUAAGAAAGGCCACAGCUGCAGCCAUCUGGCAAAAGUCAACGAAUCAUUGUGAGAACUUCACAGUUCAUCAGCUCAUCUAUCAUUUACUCGAUCAUCAGAAAGUGAUAUUGAAAGGAACUCACUGUGCCACUGAUUGAGACUAUGAUGGUCCCGGUGACGCUACCAAACAAUAGACCUGCCGACAUGGUUAAUGGUAUUGCUGGAAUCGCAAGGAUCUGAAGCAAGAAAAGUAGUUUGUUGUUACUGCUACAAGUAUAAGACGACGAUAUAACUACAUUCAAGAAAAUUAAAACUGCAAAUAUAUAUUUAGGUAAGGAAGAGUCAGAAAGAUUUUAGUGAAAUAAUUGGAUGUUCAAAGAUGUAUUACAAUAAUAAUAUGUUGAAAAAGCAAACUCUGAAGAAAUAGGAUAUUCCAUUUAGCUGACAAAUUGCAGCAGUAAAUUGCAAUAAUAAGCAGCCCAGCAAGCGUAUCUCACCUCCAAUCCAGCAUAAACAAGUACAAAUAAAGCAUAUCCAGCUGGACCAUAUCCUGAUCACAUAAAACAACAAUUUUUCAGCAGAUACAAGGAUAUGAAGUUCUAAAGAAGUGCACAGUAAAGGACAUGAAAUAAGAUCAUAUUUGUCAGAACACUUGUGCCACAACUGUUUACACAGCAACUGUUUCAUGUAACAUGCUCGCGAACUCUUUACACAGGAUGCGAGCACGUUACAUGAAAACCUCGAGCAUCAACAGCGAGAUUCAAAAAUCAUGGUCAAAUCAGGUAAUCCUCCAAUCAUAUACUCUGAUAACUCGACUUAUACGACUCCCAAGCAAAAUGUUUCAAACAAGUUUCCAUACUAGCUAAUAAAGAUCUUCACUAAAAGAGCCCUAAUAGGAUAAGUAAGUUCCAAAGCUAUUCAUUGGAAGGACCCUAACUAAAAGUUAACAACUAUAAUAAUGAAGAGAGUGCCCGAAUAUCACAUGAAGGAACAAUUAAUCCAUUCUUAAUCCAAAUUUCCAAAUUAGUACUUCAUUCUUCAGGGGUGAAAAGGAGAGCACUGUAAUGAUAACAAGAACAAGGUCUAAAUCACACAAAUCACAUCUUUCUCUGCUAAUUGCUACCGAAACUCGCAAGAUUCAGCUCAUAUUACGGCAAUUCAGUAGAAGUUUAGCUUCCAAAGGACCAACGAAGCACCCAAAAUCCCACCUUUACACAUGGACCACAAAUCAAACACCUUAUCCGCACCAAAAUCACGCCCGAACCAAUCAAUACACCAAAUUCCAACCCCAGAAUCUCAACAGGGAGCAAAAAAGAGAGGCCAAAUACCUUCGAUAAAAUCCGAGAACUGCGUGAGGAAGGCAUUAAUCUGAUCCCUGUACACAUACCCCACGGCCCCAAACCCUCCUACGACCCCGACCAGAAGAAGCCCCGCGAGAACCGUCCCGCCCACGGCGGCGCCGCCGCCAAGCUCGCCCCCCGCCUCCCCGUCGUCGGGGACGGAGCCCUCGCCGCGCCCCUUGCGGUUGUCGAACCUGAGGUUCUGGGGCACGUUCGAGGCCUUGCGGAGCGUCGCCUUCUUCGUCUCGCGGAGCGAGGCGAGUGGUCGGAGGCGACGAGGGCGCAGGAGGAGGGACGAGGAGGAGGAGGGGAAGGGGAAGAGGAGAGGGGAGGAGGGAGAGAGGGAGAGGGAGAGUGGGGAGGAGAGGGAGGAAGGAGGUCGCAUGGAGUGCAUUAUGCGGGGCAGGCGCAUAGCGUGUUGCGGUGCGAGGAGCUCCGCAGUGCCAUGCGCAGGUGUAACCGUGUAAGGGGAGGAGAGAGAAAGGAGACGAUAAGAGAGAGAGAGAGAGAGAGAGAGAGAAAGAGAGAGAGAGAGAGCCCAUGCUUUUCGUGCUACAUUGAAGAAUCAAAGCCCGCGAGACUGCAUCAUCUUCAUUGUAGUGGUGUGGUAGUGAUUUAUAUAAAAAAAAUCUGAGAUAAAAUUCAUAUUUUUAUUUAUUAUUUAUUUUUAUAGUCGUAAANUGUAACCGUGUAAGGGGAGGAGAGAGAAAGGAGACGAUAAGAGAGAGAGAGAAAGAGAGAGAGAGAGAGCGACGAGGAGAGAGAGAGAAAGGUUCGGGGAUUUUUGGAGAACGUGGUUUGUCCACGUGGCGUCAUCUUCAUUGUAGUGGUGUGGUAGUGAUUUAUAUAAAAAAAAUCUGAGAUAAAAUUCAUAUUUUUAUUUAUUAUUUAUUUUUAUAGUCGUAAAAUUAAAACUUUUAGGGUAAACUUUUUCAUCAUUAACAUUUUAUCAUUGAUAAAAUUACGAUAAACCAAAUAGCAGAAGUAGAUAUUUACAGUUAAAAAUAAUUUUACUCCUCUUCAGUUUCAGUGAAGCAAACACAGUCCAAGCAAAAGCUAUCUAGUUUUGAAAUUUGAAUUUUUAUAUUCAAAUUUCUUAUAUAAAGCUUACUUAAAAUUUGAUUAUUCAUAUGAAUUUGAAGGUGGCAGUUUCUUGCGCAAAUUCUUUACUCCGAAAAGCAUAAAAAAAAAGAAAUAUUUCAUAGAUAAAGAUCAUGGAGAUUUUAGUACAUAGAUUUUUAAAAGCAAAAAACUCUAAUUUAAUGCUUCUGCUUUUAUUGCAAUGAAAAAUGUUGGAAAUUUGAACUUCCUCAAAAAUCUGAGUGUGUUUGUGGCAAUCAAAAUGGUGCUUCACCAGAGAACAAAAGCCUUUCUUUCAAAAGUCUCUUCCAGAUUCUAGAAUGAGCUCCAGAAGAGUGGAAACUAGAAUCUUCAUGUGGUCCAAAAAAACCCUAGUUUUUGGCUACCAAUUGCUGUGGAGAUUAAAUCCUUGCAAAUGGGUGGUCACUAGAAUAAGCCCAAAUCUGAUUUUUAUUUUGUUUUUCUCAUAUUUUUUAUCAAGAUGAUUUUGUCAUAAACUGAACUUGUAACAUACUUUGCAUUGAACCCAUGCACUUCAGAUUUUUAAGGGGCAUUUUUGUUCAUGAAAUUAUGCUUUAAGUUCAAUCCAGAUCCAAAAUUGUAGAGAAAAAUACACACCAAAAACAGAAUCAGUGAAUAGAGUUACUCAGUUGUAAAAACCAUAUAGCUUUAACAAGAAGUACAUCUAAAAAAAUCCUCAAACUAUCAAACAUAGAAAGAAAAAAACAAAAAAAACCAAUACAGAGAGGUGAAAAGAAGGUAAAAGUAAAUUCAAUAUAAGAUCCAUUGUAUCAUCAUACAAGCAAUAAUACUCAAAGUGAAAGAUUUAAAUCUUUUCCUAGUGCACAUCAUAAGCACUUUAUGUAAAAUUGAGCUAUUGUGACCAAUUCAACAACAAGCAAAAAAAACAAAAAGAAAAAAAGAAAAGAGGGAUAGAAAAAGAUAACCAAGGAAUGAGUUUGCAAAUUCUCAUCAAUUUUUGUUUAACUUUUUUUUAUUAACUCAACAAAGAUACACACACAUUCAGCAAAUACCAGGUACAAAACUAGCUCACCUGAAUCCAACAUAAGUUGUUCUGAGCGUCGUUCGAUGUAGAACCUGUUCCUCAUUUCAACUUGAGAUUCGCGGCAGCGGCUCCAGAAUGUUCCAGUUUAUGAAACCAAGUUCUCUGUUCUUCAGAAGAUGCCUCGGGCGAGACGUGUUUAGUAUUUUUCGUAACUCUAUUCACUGAUUCUGCAGCGGCUUCGAUCUAUAAAAUAAGGAGAACGAAAAGAACAAAGAAACAUGUAUAAUUUCAUCUCGCAUUCUUGCUUAUUCAACAACAAUACACGAAGCUUUUUUGCUAUCGUAGGAAGCUGAGCCGAGCUUUUAGGAUCCAAUAAUCGAAGUUGUAGUUCGAAGAUUCUACUACUAGAUGCAUAGUUGUUACUGCUGCUUCGAACAACACUUUCGCGAUAUGCUAAAUGUGCAAUGUAUUUUGACUACAGGUACAGUAGGAAACAAGUGGCUAAGAAGAUAAUUACAAAAUAAUGCACAUAAAACAACAAAUCAUGCCGGGGAAUAAGAGAAAGAUGCGCGCUAAUGCAAAAAAAAUAUUGUGAUUAUGUACUUAAAAAAAGGAAUUUUGAAUGAGUAAGCUAAUAAACUGAUUCACAAUACCGAUUGUGAGGCGAUAUUCAAUAGCGAUUUCGCAAUGGGCAAGAUGCAGAACCUGCAAAUUAAAACACAAUAUGAUGCAUUAAAAUCGGAAAAGCUUUAUCGCAAGAGAUUUAAUUGAAGGAAAAAGAAAAUCUUAUAUAGAGAAUUAAACAAAGGUAAAAAUAUAUGGAUUUGCAAUGGUCCAUUCAAUUUUUUUUUCUUUUUUUUACAACUGAGUAAUUUUAGAUCAAUUGAAUAGACGAUUUCAUCGAAUUCGUUGGUGAUGCCAUUAGAUUAAAUAAUUUUAAACAUUUUUUAGAAAAAAAAUCAGCAUUAAUAGCCACUAAAUUGCACAUUCAAAUUCAGGCUUUUUUUAAUGAGUAAUUUUAGUCAACCAAGUUGAGGAUUUUAUCAAAUUCAUCAAAUUUUAGUCAACUUUUUAGCACAUAUAAUUGAAAAAAAAAAAAAAAAAACAUUGGUUAAUAGCUAAUAACAAGCCCAUUAAAUUAAUCAAAAAAUUUAACUUAGCUAACAAAACUUUUAACUUUAACUAACUCAAAAUAAAAAAUAAAAAAACUAAGAGGUAUUAAUAGUUUAAUACACAAAAAUUGUUCGAUGAGGGGGUUCCCAAUAAAAUCUACCAAAAUCUUAUAUAGAAAAUUAAAUAAUAAAUGAAAAAAGGGAGGAAAAAAAGUGAAAAAAAAAAUCCAAAAAUCGAACUAACAUUCCUCUUCCACCAGCUAAAGCCUCUUCCGAGGGAUCUUUCCACUCAUCAAAACUACAAAUUUACAAAAAAUGUAUCAAAAAUUAGCCAAAAAAAAUGUAAAUUAUGUAAAAAUAAAAUAGAAAUCGAGAAAUAAUUCGCGAGGGACGAGAGAGCGUACAUCCAACCGUAGCGCCGAUCAAAUAGGAGGCGCUUCGGAGGCCGCAUCGUGGCGCUCUGAUGCUCCAUGGACGGCUCUGAUGAGGCCGCGUUCAUGUCGCCCUCGACGCGCGCGCGCGCGCGCGAGAGAGAGAGAGAGGGUUUUGGGAGAGAAGGGACGAGGAGAUGAGGUUUGAGCCGGUUUAAAUGCUGGACCGGCCGGUUCGACAGGAGGUUACCGGUUCGGUUCGGUUCGGUUCAGGCCUUCUGGGUUUGGCAUGUGAAGAGCUUAAUCCUUACCCGGCCCAAAAUAUAUGGUCCAAUAAUGGCCCAAUUAAGGUUAUUGUUUGGAAAACUUCAAAUACCACCCCAUUAGUUUCACACUUUCUCACUUUAGUAUCAUGUGAUUUAAAAUAUAUUACUUUCGUACACUGUGAUUUUAUUUUUCUCUUUUUGUUAUCCUUUCCACUAUAAGGUGGGGUAUUUAGAGUUUUUUGUGCAUGAUUUAAUGAAAAGUUAACGAAGAGACUGACGAAAAGAGAAAAAUAAAACAACAGGAUACUAAAUUGAUACACUUUAAACCAUAGAUUAAAGAGAGAAAGUGCGAAAUCAUAGAGGUGGUUUUUUUUUUUUUUUUUUUUUUUUUUUUUUUUUUUUUUUUUUUUUUUUUUUUUUUUUUGUAAUGAUAAGCCCAAUACUUGAUAUAUUCCUCAAAAAAAUAAACUAAAAAAUCUUAAAAUCUUGAGUUUGUAAGUAAAAGUUUCGGUUUAAAGCUCGCUCAAUUAAAAGAUCUUUUUUUAAAAAAAAAACUUAACACUCUAUCCGCUUUAUUUAUUUGGAAAAUAAACUUAUCUAGAACAGAAACAAUUUGGUCUCGAAUGAAAAAAGAAACAAAAAAAUAGACAGAAAGAUGCCAAAAUAAAAAAAAAAUAGAAAAAAAGUAAAAAAUCUUAACUAUGAAGCAAUUUUUUUUAAAUAGUACUUUUGCAGAAGUCCCACUUAGGUCGACACAAGCGAAAGCUUACGAAAAGUAUGUGUUUUUGUAUCUGCAUAAUAUUUCAUAAAUCAUAUCCCAACAAAACAGAUACGAUCUGCAUAACAUAUUAUUAAUUAUAAAAUAGGGUUAAUUGUAUAUAGUUCGCUGUAAAUAUAUCAAAUAACAAAUAUAUUCCUACAAAAUUUAACUUUUAAUUUUAUCUCUACAAAAAUUCAAUGAUAUUCGUAUUGGCCCCUCUGGUUUGUUACCGUUAGAGUAUUAUUUAUUUUUUAAUAGCAGUUAAGUAAAAUAACAUUUUUGCCCUUACAAAUCUAUCCCUUCAAAAGUCUCAGCUGUUAGAAUUAUACAAAAAUAUCCUUUCAAAAAAAAUUUAUCCAAUAAUAUAAGAGAGGUAAAAAGGUCAAUUAAACUUAUUCACUAACCAGUUUUAAGUAAUUUACUCAUGAUUAACUAUAUUUUUCUAACGGAUCUUAACAGUAGGUGCAUAUUUGAAAACGAUAAGAUUUUUAUACGAAUAAAAAUAAAAAAUUAAAUUUUGUAGGAAUAUAUCUGCUAUUCAAUAUAUUUACAUAGAACUAUAUACAAUUAACCAUAUAAAAUAAAUAAUAUAUUUUUUUAGGCUAAAUUAUAGAAACCUUUCAUGUCAAAACCUGAUUUUUCACUUUCCUCCUCUGUCAUUUAAAAACCUACACUUACUUGUAAAAUGAAAAAUGGUCACAGAGGGGUACGGUGUAAACUGUGAUGACAAAAUUACCAUUUUACCGCUCACCAUUUUUGGCAACAGAAGAGAAAGCUGAGGGUGUAAUAUUUUAUAAAUGGAACCCUAACGGAUCACUAACGGUAGGAAGUAAAGUAAACAUUUUUUAUUUUACAAGGGGACAAAGUGUAGAUUUUUAAAUGACGGAAAAAAAAUAAAAAAUUGGAUUUUGACAGAAGGAUUUUCUAUAAUUUAGCCUUUUUUUUUUAUUGUACUUUUUAAUUCACAGGUAAAGCCAAACAAUACAAGAUUUGGAUAAUCCCUUCUUUGAUGGUUUCCUCUCCUUUCCUACUUACAUGCUCACAUGGUUUUCAUACAUUACUUCUCAUUGGGUUGCUUUUUUGCUAAUUAUUACUACAUGUGAUGUAGUCUCCAACAAAAGGAUUCUUGUGAGGUUAAGUAAUGGAAAAUACUAUGGGCUCAAUUUUGGGGCAAAGCACAUAGAGAUAAGAGUAUAAUAAGAGUAUCUCAUGCUUUGUGUAAAGAUCUUUAUCAAAAUGUACAUUAAAAAAAUAAUAAUAUUUCAAAUGGUUUGGAUAUAUAUGGGAAUUAUUUGUGGGUCGUUAGUUAGGUAUGGAAAAGUUGCUCCUCUUUUCCUUUUCCUUACUAAUGCCAUUAACUUGUGAGUGGAAUUUGACUUGAAUGUUUAAUGAUGGUUUUGACAAUGGGUGUGAUAUUAUUUUUAGGCAAGGCUAAGAUUAUCAUGAUUAGAUUUUUGUCAUUUUCUAUAUUAUUAGUUUGUUAAGCAAUUACACGAUUUCGAUUUGCUUUUUAUCUUUUUUUUGAGAGAUAUUUAGAUGCUAUCUGUUUCGUUUAUUUCAUUUAAAAAUAAACUUAAAUGGAAAUGUAAAUCAACUAGAAUUCGAAUUUAGGAUUUCGGAUACCAACCACCAAAUCCUUUUUCACUUGUGUUAAAGAUGGUCCAACUAAUCUAACGGUCGUCGUUGAUCUCGUCUUUAAUCACGAGAUCUUCUCAUGUGUAUAAAAGUUUAGUACACAGAACUGUAAAAAAUAUACAACUGAUUUUUUCUUUUAUUUGCUAUAAUUCAGAAAAAAAAACUUUCCCCACAAUUAUUCCAAAUAAUAAAUAAUAAAUAAUAAAAACAGUAACAUUUAAUAAAAAACUGUCAUAUUGCACACAAAUAUAAUAACAUAUUUUUUUUUAAAAGAAAGUAAUAUUACUUGUACACCUUGCAAAUAGUUGUAAAAUUCUCACUCUAAUUUUUAAAAUACUCCGCAUUUACUCACUUAUCUUGUUAUUUUUUUUAAAUACUGGAACUUAAAAUUUUUUCUAAAUUUAUAAAUUAUUAUUAUAAUAUUAUUUUAUAAUAAAGAAUUUUUCUUUUCAAAACUUAGAAAUGGUUUUUAUAAAGAAGCCUACGUGGAUUGCUGUGUACCUUGUAAAGUGCGUUCCUCGCUUUUAUGCUCUGCGAUCUUUUUCUUUCUACGAGCUGAUAAAUUGAAGAUAAUAUAUCCUUAUUUUAUCACGAAUUUAUCUCCCAAAAUUUAUAUAUUAUAAUAAAAAUUAAAAAUAAAUAAUUUGUUUAGAAUCCGUCCUAUUCUAAUAGAAAAAAUAAAACGGGAGACGAGAAAUAUUUUUCUUCUUUAAAUCAGUCGCGAUUCGAAUAAUUUAAUCGGUCCAAAACUCACUCUCACCCUAAUUUGCUAUAGAAAUAAAAAAUAAAAUAACAAUCAACUGAUUUUAUUCGGUCAUAAUUUGUCUCCAUUUCGCCCUCAGGUCCACUUAUGUUUAUUUUGUACUUAUUAUUCGAUUGUACAAAUUUAUAAUUUGCUUGGAUUCCUUCUAUAGAUAUUUUGUAGGUAUUAUUAAAAAAUGAAAUGCACAGCCAUGUAUGCUACAUUGAUAGUGACAUAUAUUUUCUAAACUCCUAUUCACUGUGAGACUCAUUUAAUUUGAAUGGUACUUUGUUAAGAGGUAUUUGCAUAGAUACAUGUGUUAGCUAUGCUAAAAUAAAAUACUUAUACAUAGUUUGUUGGAUGUUUAUACAUGUUAACAAUGUUCAAAUAAAAUCCACUUAUUCUUCUUAUAUUAAAUGUAAAAUUAUGUUACUGGUGAAUAAUGAUAGAGCUAAUAGCAGUGUUUAAAAGCUUGAAUUAACCAUAUAUAGACAUCUAAUUUUAUUGAAUAAGAAAGAAAGAUUAUAAUGUAUAUAUAGAGAGUAAAAUUGUGAUAAUUUUAAAAGUAAACAUUCUCCUUUAUCUUUAUAUUAUAUAAUUGAUGAGAUUAUUUGUGAGACCUCAGAUAGUACUGUAUAUGAGAUAUAAUAGAUUUUAAAUUUUUAACCCGUCUUAAAUAUUUUUUGUGGUGGUUUGGCACAAGAGGUUAAGAAAAUUUAGCGUGUUAGGACAGAAGUAGUUCUAGUAUGGGUGAUCUCCUGAAAAGUUGGGGCGUCACAAUUGGUAUCGGAGUUAAUUACCAAUCGAAAGUGUGAGAUGCGUCUCGACUGAAUUAGAAUUAUACAGCAGGGAGAGAGAGACUCUUAUACUGUUGACUGUUAUGCGUGGAGCGUAACUCACUAUAAAGUCGGUUUAGACUAGCGAGAUGAGUCUCACAUCACCUGAUAUUUAUGAGUCUGAGCCUAACGAGGACUUCAGGGCUUAAAGGAAGAAAAAUAUGAGAUCUCAGAUAAUUCUAUAUAUAAAAUAUGAUAGGGCUAAAACUAAACCGAUUUAAGUAUUUUGGAUGGUGACUAGGUCCAAAAUGUUUAGAGAGUUAAAACCUUCUAGAAUGUUGGAGCGUCACGUUAUUAAAUUAACGAUUGAUUGAUACCGCAUCUUUAUAAAAAUUAAAUUUUAUAAUUUUACGUUAUUAUUUAGUCGUGAUCAAAUGAUUUAAAAUUUAUCUUAUUUUUUUAGCCAUUAAAAAUUAUUAAUUUUGGACUACUUGAAUAUUCCAUAAAAAUUAUUUUAAAAUUAAAUUUUUUUUAAUAGUGUCAAUAGUCGAUUCAUAUAAUCAAUUAAAUUAUUUAUCUAAAUAAAUAUAAUUAAAUCUCUGACAUUUAAACCUUUUUUUCUCGAGAUAAUAAUUUCUCCAAUCAACGGCAAAAUUCGAUUUGUCAACCGUUCCUCUCGGAAGUUAUUUCUUGCACCCGGUUCACCAACAUUACUUGUGCACCACCUUGAAACAUUUAAAUGGCUGAAACUAUCGAACGGUUGAGAUUAGGACUCGUGACGAAAUGAAAGGUUGACAGGGGCGGGUGCACGAGUUAUACGGAUGAACACGGUCCAUCCAUAUUUCUCCACCCUACAACGAUAAAUUAAUUUGCUAUGUACUCACGAUAACUCCCCGAUAUUAUAUCAUCGUAUACUCUCCGCCUCUCUCGUUCCUCUAAUCCUCUUCGUCCCAAACACUCUCUCUCUCUUAGGGUUCUCCGAAUCUUCCUGGUUUCGAUCCGUUUCUCUCCUCAUCCUUACCCUAAACAUGGAGGAAUCCAUCGAUUUCCCGGAUUGGGAGCUCCUCCAUGGCCCCGACGCCGCCCCAGUGAGCCCCGCCGCGCUUGGCGAGGCGAUCGAGGCCGAUUCCGACGAGGGCGGCGCGAUCAAGCCCGAUUACUUCGCCCUCGGCUCCGAGGACAAGUACCCUGCGAGGUCCGGCUCUGCCAUGGCGAAGAAUCGCGAGGAGGAAGAAGAACUGGGGCUCUGCGACUCGGAUAACCCUAGCUGGGUCGACCCCGAAUCGGACCAUCGCAAAGGCAAAUCGGGUUUUUCCCGUAUAUCGUUCCCGCAGAAGAACCCGGGCGCGUUUUGGUCGGACGAGUCGUCCGACGAGCUCAGAUCGCCGCCGAGUAGCGAAAGGCGAGAGCUUUCGUUUUUGGACGAGUUCGAUGUUGAAGAGAAAGCUGUUGACGUUGAAGUUGGUAAGGAAAUUGGACGAGAUGAGGUUGCACGCAAGGUGUUCGACGAAAUGGGUAGCAAAAAGAUCGGUUCGGUUGCGAAGCGGGAGGAGGGAGGGAUGGUUUGGUGGAAGGUGCCCUUGGAGUUGUUAAAGUUCUGUGUUUUUAGGAUGAGACCCGCGUGGUCGAUCCCAGCGGCCGCGGUGAUACUAGGGUUUGCAGUGCUGGGGAGGAGGUUGUAUAAGAUGAAGCAGAUGAAGAGGAGCAUUCCACAGCUCAAAAUCAGUCUCGAUGAAAAGGUGUGGUGUUUUGGUUUCGGCUUUGGUUAAUAGUAAUUGCCAUUUAGACUAUUUCCUAUUAGAUCCCUCAGUUCCCGAGUUCAUUGCUUCAAUUUUGCACAUUCACUGUUUUAUGUCUCAUCGGCGCACGCAACAUGUCUCACCUAAUCUCUACCAUGCACGUGAGUGGGAUUGUUUCCCUAUUAGAUCGAUCUUUUGUGGUAAUUAUCGCCAUUUAUUAUGACUAAUGACUAAUGUUGGAGAUGGGUAAGGACUAUGUUAUAAAUAGAUUCUUCUUUUAGCUUCUUUAAACAAUAUGGUUCGAUGAUUCAUACACUGCAAACUCCCUAUUAAAUUGAUCUAACAAUUAGGAAUCAGCAGUUCCAACUACAAAAUUUCAUUAUAAAUUAUGUCUACUUAAUGUGGGAAGUAAAGAGUUGUGGAGUCGGCACCGUUUUGUUAGUAUUAUGAUUGAGGUGAGAUUGUAUGAUCUAGGCUCAUCUUUUGGAGCUGUGGUAUGGAAUUCAGUAAAUGCUAUUUUAAUUAUGUUACUAAGAAAUGGAAUUAUUACAGUGUUUUUUUUAUCGCUGCACAUGGUUUUUCUAUUGCUGUACAUGAAUGUGUUGAACUUUUAUAACUCCAGAGACAUACCUAGUAUUGUAGGUCCCCCAGGAGUGCCUCUUUUAUUUGUCGAAGGUAUUUGCUUAGCAACAUACAGUAUUUUCGAUGAGUUUAUAACUAUUUCUUUCCUGUUGCUUAACUUAUUUGUCGCUUAACUAUCAUACUAGUGUCCUGCGUCUUGUGAUUCUUUAAUCCAUUUUAUUGUUUGCAUAUUUCCUCUGACUUUCUCAUGCGACAAGUCAAUUUUCAAGGUAAAAUAUUCAUCGAUUCCUCGCUAAUAGAUGAAUUAAAUGUGUAUGGAUUUUGCUGGAAGAUUUUUUAGUACUAAUUUCCUUUAUACAAUAUGUCCAUAUCUAUAUGAGGUGCUACUCUAUGUUGUUAAAAGCUUAAUCUUGUAAUUUUCCUAUUUACUGUUUAUGGUGGAUUACUCCGGAGAGGAGCAAAUAACUGCUUGUAAAUGUAGUUCAUCGGUUUGAUUCUUUAAUUAACCCCUUCUCUACUGUGUCACAUUUUGCAGAAGGCGUCGCAGUUCAAGGCUCGCGUCGCCCGUCUCAAUGAAGCCUUCUCUAUGGUGAGGCGUGUUCCUCUCAUCCGAGCUCCUCUUCCUGCUAGUGGAGUGACCCCGUGGCCCGUGGUGGGGUUCCAAUGAAGAGUGUGUACAUCCGUACAUCUGUGCGCUGCUUUUCCAUCGGCCGUUGAUCCUGUCUUGUUGUGUUUAGUCACUGCCAAUCAAUGAGUCUCAUCCCUUUUCCUUUCACAAAUUGGAUGGUUCGAUUAAAACUAUGAGAUUAGAUAGAGGGUGGAUGGAAGAGCGGUGUAUAUAUUUAUAUAUAUCUUCGACCAACAAUCGGAUUAGGAUGGAUAAUCCAAUGGAGUUCCAAGUUACAUAAAUCUCUCUCGUCCCCAUGUCUCUACAAUACAAAGUCUCUACUUAUAGGCCACCAUUGCUGCUUCUUUUUUUUUUGUUUGUUCUCUCUUUCUUUUGCAGCUCUUAUGAACUAUAAGCUUCUAGAUUGCGUAACCAAUGAAGCGGAUACUACGUUGUAAAUCUCCUUCAUUUGAAAUUUGUAUGUAUUUCAGAAAGGAUCAUACUAUAUAUGUUUGAUGCAUUUUCUCUCAAAAGGUAUUUGGAAUCUUUGAUGAUGUGAAUUAAAGUAGUGCUUUUCCGUUAAGUCGAGUAUCGGAGUGAAUAUCGCGAAUUCUCGACAAUAUCGCGAAUUCUCGACAAGAAUUGGUGUCAAAGAGACAUGUUUCUGUUGUGACUUGUGAUGCUCUGAUUUUCUAUGAUGAUUAUAUUGUUGGAUAUUAUCAUGUUUUUUUCGUAUUAUUUUGCUCUUCUUUAUCAGAAGUGAAAUAUGAGUCACCAUCCAAAACUGGUGGUAUUGGAUUUCUUUGUUUCAACAUAUGUAUGAAUGGAAAAGAUCUUUUUUUUUUUCCACUUGCUCCUCUAUUUCCUCAGUAAAAUUUUUAAAUUUAAGAAGAUCUUUAAUUUAAUUAAUCAAAGUUAAUUGAAAAUUGAAAAAACUGGGCAAUUAAACAGAAAAUUAAUCGACAGCUCUACAUUUCGAAACGUAAUUUUGUUGAGGGGUCUCCACGCAUUUUCGCCCAACCUGUUCUCCAUCUCCAGAGCCGGGCGCAUGCGGAUGUGCUGACGUGGAAGAAAAUCGACCGUCCGACCAGCCCUCCAGAAAUCUCGUCCCUCGACGGAGAUCGGUUCCGCCGUGAUGAACGGUUCGAUCGCACCUGUCCGCAUGCGACUCAAUCCGGACCAUAACAUACGGGGCAUCUCCUGCUCCUACCCUUCUCCCCGCCCCGAAUUCCCUGCACCGGGUCUAUCCGUACAUCUAGUGCACCUACAUGAUCAAUACAUUAUAUUUAUAGACCUGUAAAUUUUUACUUUCAAAAAAGAAAGUUGAAAAUUUAGAAAAAAAAAAAGAUGUUGAAAAUUUGGGAUACCUCUUCCAUUUUAUUUUUAUUUUAUUGUUAAUACUUAAUACCAGCCUAGUAGUAUAAAAUAUUAUAUUUUAUAAAAUUAUUUUGUAGGUUAAUAAUAUGCUGUAUUUUAUUAUUCUGUGAUCUGUAAAAGAUAAUAUUUACUAGAAAAUAAAUAAAUAUAAACAAUUAUAGGGUAGCAAAAUUAAAACUUCUAUAAAAAGAUAUAGAGUUGUUAAGUAAAAAUAUGUAAAUCCUUUAUUUAUAAUGCAUUUUUUUUAAAAAAAAUUAGGUGUACGGUGCACCGGGUGCAUGCACUAAUUACUCGACCUAUAUAAUAGCGUUUAGUGGAGCUAUAUUAUUAUUUCCUUCCAAAUAGCGCGAGGCGUGGUGAUGGUUGGGGAAGCGCUUCUAACCACCGCACUUCGAUCGCUCUCUCCUUCCCCAAAUCGAUUGAUCGAUCGAUCGAUCGAGGUGAUCGAUCGCCGCGUUUCUCGUGCGAUUUCUUCGAAUCCGCGGUCGAUUUGAUCCACCGGUUGAGGCAUUUGAUCGAAUGGGAGUGCGCAGGUGAGGCGGAGAUGCGUGGGUUUUAGUAGGGUUUUGAGGUGGUGAGCUUUUGGAGGAGAGGGGGAGCGGCGGGAGAUGGGGAGGGUGAAGAGGAACAAGGAGGAGAUUGCGGAGGAUUACUGCUUCGCUUGCAAGGAUGGGGGCCAUCUCCGUGUCUGCGACUUCAAGUGAGUUCGAAUUUGCUUUGCUUUCUUUUGUUUUUUUUUUUUUUACUUCAAAAAGAUCAGUAUAUAGUUCAUUGGAUUAGAAAAGAUUAUUAUAUGUUUAUACAUAUAUGAUUCUUUGUUCCUGGUGUGAAUGUUGUAUUGGAGAAUUCUUAAUCCUAAGUUUGUGAAUGUGUGCCCCAAACGCGAUUGAUUUGAUGCUUUUGGGCAUUUUUUUGGCUCGCAGUAGGGUUUAAUGAAGCAUUGUCUGAGUAGUGCUUUUAAGAGAAGCACUAACUGCGGUAUAUUGAGAUAUUGUGUAAAGUUUCUUUUGCGGCAGAAUUAGAAGCUCAGAAUCGCUUUCCGCUGCUCGCUGCAGAAUAAGUUACUGAUUUUCUCAUUACUGAAUACCCUGCUAUUGGCCUUUUUGCAAAAUAAGCAUCUCGAUAAAAAGUUUGUAGCGAAAUAAUUUUACUCAAAAAGAACUUAGUAAACUAAGCUUCUGAAGAUGGAAAUGCGGUGUAUCAUUCGCCAGCAUUUAGAUUUUUCUAUGUUCCUCAUAAGCAUUCCUAUGAGUAGUUAAAUGUGGUAAGUAUUUCUAUGAGUAGUUGAAUACGAUUAUCAUGUUAACAGGAAUGCGCAGCUUUUUUUUUUUUUUUUUUUUUUGCACAUAUGGCAGUAUUUAGGACAGUUAGAACUACUGCUGGGUAUCAUACUUCGUGGAACAACCUUGUGUUCUGAAUAGCUUUUCCUACUUAGUAACUCAGUACUGAGUUAUUUCCAAGAUGCCUGACAUGUGAGAAAAAAAAAAGGAAAAAGAAAAAAUUAUAAAGAUGCCUAAGAGGUUCACCUAACAAAUUGAGUUGCUUCUUCAGUAAAAAGAAUGAUAUGGGAUGUAUAAUGUGUAGCAAAGUUAGUUCGAAUAUGUGGUUUGUGAUUGCUUUUGAUACCUAAUGUGUGGGAUUGAUGUGGGGAAGUUCUUCAGAAUAUGAAGUAUGUGAUUAUUUGUGAUUCAUCUGUUAUCUGAGCAUACCAUGAUCUUCUAUGGUAUCGUCUAAUUACGACUUGAAUAACGUAUUUUUUUAUUUGUAAUAUAAUUAAAAAAAAAUUUCAUUCUCCAGGAGCUGUCUGAAAGCUUACCAUCCUCAAUGUGUGGGAAAGGAAUCUUCUUUCCUUGAAACAGAUGAACAAUGGAACUGUGGUAAGCACUAAGGACUUGUAUAUAUUUUUAUCAUAUGCAUAUUACUGCAGUAAAUGAACUGAUAUAUAUUUCCUCAACUUGGAUAUGCACAAGCACAUGAUUUCAACGACUCACUCUGGUCUUGCUAUGCACAUUCUUGAAUCAUGACCCACCCCAAAUGUCUGAAUUCCUUGAUUGGGUUAACUUGGUCAAUAAGACUUGGGUUGGUUGAUUAAGUUAGAUAUUCAUCUAUACAUCUAUUACCUUUAUACUAAUAGAUUGUACAUGGAAUAAAUGAUGUUAUACAUCAGGUCAAUUAGGUGAAUUAGAUCCAACAUUAAAUCAGAAUCAUAUAUAUUUUGGUGGGUCAAUAUGAGUUUUGAUUAUAUCAGAUUUGGUCAUGUUGAAAUUUCUCAACUCUAACCCAAUUUUAACUUCUAAAAUGUUAAAGUCAUUAUGCUCAAUGCAAAUAACAAGUUUAGAUGCACGGUUCAACCAUGUUGCAGCCUCUAUAUUAGUGCUUUCUACAGAUUUAUCUGCCUUGCAUCGACUCAGACAAUUUUCCAUUACUUAUGUUAGUGAAGGAUUUUACUGUUCAGAGUUUGACAACAUUUGCUUCAUCUAAAAUGAUUUCAGUAUCAUAUAUCUCAUUUGGUUGUAUGUUGCUUUGGAUCCUUUAACCUGUGGACUUCAUUUUGAUUCAUGAUUCCUUUUUUCCAGUCAUUUAAGUUGAUAUAUUUGCAUAUUUAGUAUAUUCAACUUGAUAAGGUUAUUGACAGGUUGGCACUCGUGUUUUAUCUGCAAAAGGAGUUCGUUUGUGCAAUGUUUCUGUUGUCCGAGCUCUGUGUGCCGCAAAUGCAUCAGAGAAGUUGAGUUUGUGCAAGCUAAGAAAAAGACAAAGGGCUUCUGUAAUAAUUGUUUAAGGCUGACAAUCUUGAUAGAGAAAAAUGUUGAUGUUGAUUCUGAUGGGGUACUGUAUCAAAGAAUCCUUCUUAUAACUUUCAUUUUCUUCCUUGAUUUCUAUUAUUAUGUUGAUGGCUUCUAUCAAUUGUCAAUGAAUUAUGCAUGAUUUUUUGCUAAUCAAAGACUUCAGUAAUGCAUAUCCAUCUAUUUAUUUUGUGAGGCCCAACAAUGUUGUAUUGUACUUUGAAAUUCUUUGGAUUGACAAUUCUGACCAAUACAUUAAUUUUGCUAGUCUGGCCAUGCUGCAUUGUACUUUGGCUUCAUAUUUAAUCUGCGGAUGUUAUUGGCAUAAGUAGACUGACUACAUGUAUAUUACACGUCUCUUUUGCAUCAUAAAGUUAGUAGAUUGACUGUACAAGACGUAAAGGUUAGGUGUUUGUUGCGAUUCAGUAAAGGAGAUAACUUUUCAAAUCAUCAGGAUAUUCUUUUAAUUUUCAAAAUUCACGAUUUGCUUUUCUCCAUAUGUUGUGAUUGCUCUUAGUUUUGUCCUUUUCAGGGUAAAGUUGAUUUCAAAGAUUCAGAAACUUAUGAGUUUCUGUUUAAGGACUACUGGGCUAUAGUAAAAGAUAAGGAACAUUUAUCAUUGACUGAUCUUCAAGUGGCCAAUGCUCUUCUCAAAGGAGGUAAAAGCUAUACAAGUGAAUCAGAUUCAGAUAGGUGUUCUGUAGAGCAGCAAACGUAUGAGGAUGAUGACUUGCAAGAUAAUUCUGAUGAUGAGACGUCCUUUCUUGCAAAUCUGAAAAGGAAAAAGCGGAGGAAAGUAAAAGCACCUAUUAAAAGAUGCAAGUCCAAGAAGAAAACCUAUGUUGGGUGGGGUUCGGAAGAGCUAAUAGGAUUUCUUUCAUCUAUCGGUAAGGAUACAAAAGAACCUAUAACGCAAUUGGACGCGUCUGAAAUUGUAAAGGAUUACAUCCAAUCGAACAAUCUUUUGCAUACUAAUAAGAAGAAAAAGAACGUUAUAUGUGAUGAGAGGCUUCUUUCCCUAUUUAGGAGGAAAAAACUGAAGCUUCAUAAAAUCUACAGCUUGCUGGAAAGCCACUUUGCUGCUAAUGGUGAUUCAGAUGAUGAAAUUUCACUCAGUUCAGAAGAAGAAGAUAACAUGGUUUUACGGGAGAAGAAGAGGAACAUCAGUUCUGAAUUCAAGGUUAAGAAAUCCAAUUCAAAUUAUUACAGGGAAAAGUUUUUGGGGUCAAUGAAAAGUUCCUCUGCUUCAAUUAUAGAAGAAAAUAUUAAGUUAGUCUAUUUGAAAAGGUCUUUAGUCAUUGACCUUCUGAAGUACCCUGAAAACUUCGAGCAAAAAGUUGUUGGCUGCUUUGUCAGGGUUAAGAGAGAUCCUAAAGAUUUUUACAACAUGCCGCAAAAAGUAUACCAGCUUGGGCAGGUUAAUGGUAAGUGUUUAAUACACGAAGUUCACCAAUACCUUUUCUUGUUUGAAUGAGAUUCUUCUUUUAUAAGACCACUUCAUGUUAGUAUCCUCUUUUGAUUCUCUUCAGGCAUUGUUUCAUUAUCAUAACAGGUAUUAAGAAGGUUACUGAGACUUAUAAGAUAGGGGAGUUGAAAACAGAUGUCGUACUGUGUAUUUCCAACAUGGUAAAAGACGUUCAAAUUUCUAUGCUGUCGGAUGAUGACUUUGAGGAGGUAUUUAUUGCAUAUGGUCAUCUACCUACUACACUUUUAUGUAAUUUGGAAACAUAAUAAGAGUAGCCAACAAAUAAUAAUUUGCUUCCAUCAAAUUCAUAAAUUCAGACUCUUUUUUUUAGUAAAAUAUUUUUCCUUGAGAUCUGUGUAGAUUUUAGAUGUAUGGCAUGGGUUUGGUAGGUACUUUUUUUUAGCCUCUUUUAUUUGUUCGUAGAACGAGGUUUCGGAAGAUGUUCCUUUUUUUUUGUUUCCUAUUCUGCACAGAACACCAUAAUUUCCUUUUUGAGAUUGCCAAUAUGGUGAAAUGAACUCAUUUUAUGUUCUUGUUAACAGGAAGAAUGUGAAGAUCUCCGCCAGUUGGUGAAGGAAGGUCUUUUGGAAAGGCCUACUGUUGUAAGUUUCUCUGCAGAGAACACUAUAUUCUUGCAAUACAGACAUGUUCUUGUGGGACCUGCAUUAGUGCAUAUGGUUUCCACUUUUAGACUUGUUAAUCAGCAAACACUUCAGCAUGACUUCUAAUUUCUCCAGCAUGUAUCAUGAUUAUAUACGUCUGUCUCUUUAAGGUGGUUUAAAAUUGGAGGAGAAUUUUGGAGUACCUUUAAUUUAGAUUGCAAUACAUUGGAUUAAACCAAAUAGUUGGGAAAUAACUUGCUGUCUAGCAUCAAAGAAUCUUAAAAACAGAGAAGAAAGCAAGCCAUGAUCCUUGCAUCAAUCAAAUGCUACCAUACAAAGUACAAAUUGUAUAAAGAAUGCUGUUAUACUCUUUUUUUUAUUGAGAGAUAUGCUGUUAUACUCUCUAAUUUUACAUCACUGUUGAUAUCAGUUUCCUUGCUGCGAUAUCUAAUGCAGAAGUUGUCGGCUAUUAGCAAUUCUUGUAUAACUUUCAUCACAUAAGUAUAAUAAUAUUCUGAGCCAUCCUCCUUUCAACAGGGACAGCUUGAGGAAAAGGCGAAAAGUGUACAUGCGGAUAUUAUAAGUCAUGUAAGUAUUUUUUUUAUUUAACAUGGUUUCAAAUAAAGCAAUUGUUCUGAAAUUUAUUUUCUUGCUGGAGGCUAACCAAGUUUAUUCCUUUUCAGUGGAUUGAUAGAGAACUUGUGAGAUUGCAAAGGUUGAUAGAUCAAGCAAAUGAGAAGGGUUGGCGCAGAGAAUAUCCUUUAAUUUCAGGAAAAUGAGUAUUGGAACUUUUUUUUNCGGGGGGGGCGAUGGGAUUUUCUAUUUUUUGAAUCUUGUAAUCGUAAACCUGUCAUAAAUUGUGAGGUAAUAUAGGCAAUAUAUUUCCUUAACCUGUGUUGGAUUUUAAGCUGUAUGAAUGCAUUGAUAAAAGAGAGCUACUUCGGACACCAGAAGAAAGACAGCGACUUCUUAAAGAGAUACCAAAAGUAAUUGCAGACAUAGAAGGAGAAAUUAGAGACACAACCUGCUCAUCUGAAGAUCAUGAAGAAACUAAACUGUUCACCUCACUCUUUCAAUGUUACUAUUGUUUAAUCUCAAUGUAUUCUUUUUGAUUAUGCACAUAUAUUGCUGAUUGAUAAUUGCUCCAUAACGCAUGUAAUGAGAUUGCUGAACAGUUUAGUGUGUCAUAGUUAUCAGGAAAUUACAUUUGUUAUGAACAGGUAGAACUGAUCCAAUUUCUUUUAAAAAGAAACCAUAUUGACUAAAUAUAGUUUGGAAUCAGGAGAGUUUAUACUUCUAAUGUAGCUAUGGUAGUAACUUCGAUAAAUGAACUUUUGGAUGACAUAAUUGGUGAGAUAGUGUAGGAAUAAAGACAUAGUUGCUUCUUUUCUUUUCUUUUUUUUUUGUCUCCAAGCCAUUUUCUUCAGGAUUCACGAAUUUAUUGCUUUGGAAUGUAAAAUCAUUUCUAAUACCAAUUCAUUCUUUACACUUCUCAGGAGACACUCUUUUCACUUGAAAUAUCCGAAUCUGCUACUGCUCCUUGCAUUGUUUAAUUGUUUCUGCUUACUUUCGUAACUUAUGCUUCUUUAUAGUAACCCAACUUCUAGAAACACAUUGCUGUGCAGCAAUACCUGAUAUUCAUUGAAUAUUAGCAGCUUGGCAUUAUAUAGAACUCAUAUACGGUAAAUUUUUGCUAAAUACUUGUUUAAAUGGUUGCAGAUGGAAAUGUCACCAAUGUGAACUCUCCGCAAAAAGUUUCAGGUCCAUCAAUCUAAACAUUUUCUUCUCCUCCCCCUGUAAUUUGCAAUUUACAAUUAGUUUUUGCUGUAUGAUAAUUCUGAAGCAAGUCAGCUUUUGAUGGCUGAACAAGUGGAGAUGACUUUACCCUUAACUAAUAUCCCAUUGUUCUCCUAACAAGUUUGAUUUGGUUUAUCCUGAUAAGAUAAAUUGUGGGGUAAGCUAUCAGAAAGGCCGAUUUAGGCUCUGAUGUCGUAUUUACGGAAUUGGCGCUAAUAAGUACCUCUUGUCGAUAACCUGUACUGCUUUCUACUUUCUAGAAAUCAAAUUUUAGUAGAUUUUGAUUGUAUUGUGGAGUAAAUAGAUAAUUUUACCACCAUCAACAAAAAAUUUAUAUGCCCUGUCUAGGGGGAGUAGGGCAUUAAAUUCAUCUUCAAGCGAAAAUUCUCCUCUUUGAAAUGAAGAAACAUCAUGCCUGUGUUUAACUUUUGCACCUGUGCAGCAGUGAAAAGAGCUGACUCCGGCGAAAAUGCAGCAGCAGAAGGACCUGAAGGUUUGUUUGUUUUUCCCCCCCUACUGUCCAGUCUAUUCUACUUGUAAUUUAUAUUAUUACUGCUACCCCUGUUAACACCAUAUUCAUGUUAAAUAUUCCACAAUGCUGUGAUCCUUUGAUGUUCUGCUGCAGAAACCAACCCACGUAAUUCGAGCUUAUGCAAUGAGAAUUGCGACGAUCGCCAUAAAGUGAUCGAAAUCGCAGGAAGCAAAGAAAACCCAAAGCGUAACAAGGCAAGAAAAGCGCUAGCUGUCGACCUAGCCGAAGAUGAUGACAGCUUGAUUACCUUGGAGAAAAGCAAGCCCUCCACAACCUUCAAGGUGAUAUCCAAUCAAGUGAUCUGCGAGAGCGACACUGUGUGGCACUACAUUGACCCGCAAGGAAAAGGACAAGGACCAUUUUCAAUGGCCAUGCUAAGGGAGUGGAAAGAAGGCGGUUUCUUCGACAGUAAUUUCAAAGUUUGGCGAACAGGCCAAUCCCCAGAGAACUCCAUUUUGCUGCGAGAUGCGCUUCGACUUACUAUAAAGAUCGUCGACUAGGGAUAUAAAUCUAUAUAUAUAGUAAUGUGUAAAUCCCGAACUAUAUGUUACUAUCUAACCAUAUUCUGUAGGCUCUAUUCUGAUCUUAUGUAAAGUGCUAGUGUUAGCAUUUGUAAAGGAAGGGAUAUUGGUUUUGUUUGGUGGUCCAACCUGGGGGAUUUUUUGGCAAACACAACCCUUAACAAUUCUGAUUCUGCAGCUUUAGUCCAGCUUUUUGUAUUUUUGUACUUUUGGACCAAAUUUCUCUUCUAUGGACUGUAAAUAUUGCUAAUAUUCCUCGUGAUGAAUGAAUAUAUGCAUUAAAAUUUUGAUUUUAGUGCCUUUUUUUUUUAUGCAAGUUGGUGGAAAAGAUUUGAGAAAAGUAUAUGAUAAGCAAUUUAAAUAUAUUGGUGCAAAAAAAAAAAAAACAAUGAUGUCACAGAGUAUUGGCGUAUAAGUAUUUUUAUAAUUGGCACGUAUCGGAACGGUCAUUGAAUGCUUCAUGCUGUAUUGUGCCGCGACACUUAAAUCUUUGGUGAAGAGUGUAAAUAAAAACAGAUACAAGUUUCAGUUUCAAGAACUCUAUUCUAUGCUAAUAAGUUUACAUGUUUAAAUCGUAACUCUUGAGUUGUAUGAAGAAGCAUUAAUAAUUUUUUGGGGGCAAUUUCAAUCUCUAACAAUUUUUUAUUGCAUUAACGAGAAAAAUUAAAAAUUUUGAACUAUAUUUUCUACUUUGGAAAUACUUUGGGUCUCAUUAAUAUGUUGUUGAUAUAUUGACAAAUUUAUAAGGCAUUUUAGAGUACAUGCAUAAAUUAAUCGAUAACUAAACAUAUCGUGUAUACCAAUAUAUCAACAAACAAUAUAUGGAGCAUUUUUGGUAGCCCAUGUAUAUAGCCACAUAGAGUCGGCUACUAUACUUUUAUUCUAGGGGAAACUUCAAAUACCUCCAUAUGGCUUCGUACUUUCUCACUUUAGUAUCCUAUGGUAUAAAGUUAUCAAGUUAGUACCCUAUGAUUUCGUACUUUCUCACUUUAGUACCUCGUGGUUUCAAGUGUAUCAAGUUAGUAUCCUAUGGUUUCGCACUUUCUCACUUUAGUACCAUGUGGUUUAAUAUUUCGUUAAAUUAUAUACUCCGAAAUGGAUAAUAAAAAGAAAAAAUUAAAACCACAGGGUACUAACUUGAUACAAAAAUAAAACCACAUGAUACUAAUUUGAUACAUUUAAAAUCACAGAAUACUAAAAUGAGAAAGUGCGAAACUAUAUGGUACUAACUUGAUACACUUUAAACCACAUGUUACUAAAUUGAAAAAGUGCCAACCACAUGUGGUAUUUGAAGUUUUUCCUUUAUUUUAUUUCUUUUUUCUUAUUUUGCUUUAGGACAGCUAAUUAAUCACUACAGUUUCUCACUUGAAUGCACAUCAUAUAAGAUGUUGCUUUUGAAAUGCUAAACGUUGCUUUUGGGAAUGGAAAAGGUGUUUAUAAGCCAAGUGAAACAAGCUCUGACACAUUCAAUACGGAGGGGCAUGUGCAUGGAAAUGAAGAACAUACUAUAAUUUAUUAUUCAUCAUAAACAUGAAUCACGAGUUUUGGAAUUAUUAUCAUUCUACAAAGAAUUUUUUUUUUUUUUUAAUAAUUGGCAAAUUUAUAUGGUGCAUUAACUGCUAAACCGGUUAAAAACUUUCAUAUUAUGUAUGAUAAUACUUAUAAUAUAUGAGAACAAUAUUUAAUUUAAAGGUCCGUUAUAACACAAAACAAUUAUUUUUAAGCUUCGACAGAAAUAUAAAUCAAAUCAAAUUAAAUAAAAAAAAACUAAUUAAACAAACCAAAAAAUUUUAGCUGAAUAAGAUCAUUGGCUUUUAAUUUAACACCAAACUCUGAACACGUUUACACAAACUAUUGACAACUAAAAAAACCGCCACAUUAUUAACAUGAAAUAAAUUAAUAACUAUUGUAUCUUUAUAUCUUUAAGAAGUAUUAAUUGGGGUUUAGUGAGUAAUCAGUCUAAACCACACAUUAUGACAUGUUCGAAAAUUCUAUAAUUUUAUAGUAUUGAAAUAUUGUAAUAUCAAAAACAGUGUUCAUAUUUACAAAAGUGUAUUUAGAUUUUUUUUUUAGAGUACCAAAAAAGAGUAAAAAUAUUUUAAAAGUACCGUGAAUUAUUAUAACAGUAGAAAAAGAGCAAGCCUAUGCUCUAAAUUUGCUUAUUGUUAUAAUUAAGCAUAUAUCGUAACAUAUAAUUACAUUACAAUAAUAUUUUCAAGUAUCCAAACAGUGCCUUAUUAAAGUUUAAACCUAAAUAAUAACAAAAUUAAAGAUUAAAAUUGUUUGGGGACCAAAAUUAAAUUCACCUGAUUUUUAAAUAUAUAUAUAUUUAUGAGCAAUCAUGUGAAGUAGGUGUUGAAGUGUUAACCCACCUCAUUGUCAUUGAGUGCUAGAUGUCGCACAACACACGCAUAGAUACAUUAUGCGUUGUCAACGUACAGUGGUAGAUAAAUGUACUACACACUGUACUAUUUUUGAAAAAUUUUAGUGCACCGGGUCCACCACGUCAUCCAUAGAACACUAAAUCCUCUCUCUCUCAUUACCGUUAUUUCCAUCUCUACCGCAAUGCCAGGGUUUGCAUUCGGCUCGAAAUGAGCUCAAAAUCAAUCGCUCAUUUAAUAGACGAGUCGAAUACGAGCUCGGAUCAAUUCGCUCGUGUUCUAUUUCAUUAGAUUAAAAUUCUAAUUUUUUUUUCCGACUUUUCGCCUUCCAGUUGGACCGACGUACUAACUUAUAAUUCAUGAGUCAGUUCGUGUUUGGUUCGUUAUUAAACAAGCCGAACACAAGUUAAAUUUUUCAGUUCGAUAUUUUAAUGAGUCAGCUUAUUUUCGACUCAUCUAACAAAUGAACGAACACAAGCCAGUUUCUCAACUCGCUCGUGUUUAACUCGUUUACAGCCUCACGUCACACUAUUCUAAAAUAAAAUAAAAUUUAAUGUAUAAAUAAUUUUAAUUUUUUAUACAAAAAAUAUGAUAAUUAAUAGUAGGUGUCUCAAAAUUGUUAUAUUUAUGAAAAAUGGGAAGCCUUAAAAGCACAUCUAAUGUAGUAAUUUUUAUAUCAACUUGACAUGUUUAGUGCAUCUAACAGUAAUUUGAACAUAUUUAUUCCAGUAAUAAUUGAUAAAAAUCAAAUUUGCGGUCUACGGAUGACGUGGUGAACUCAUUCCACGCAAACAAUUUUCACAGAAUUUUCUCUCUCUAAAUUCUCUCUCUCUCCUCAUUCCCCUAUAUUUGGAUCCCCUAUCUCCAUUAAAACCGCUCUUCUUUUCCCACAAAUUCAUUUUUAGUCCAAUAAAAAAUAUAAAAAUAAGAUUAAAAUAUCUUUUUUUAGAAAAAAGAAAAUCUUUUUUGUUCCCCAUUUCUCCGCGAUUUCCUUUGUUUUGUCACCCCAAAAAUCCCAUCUUUUAACCCCAACCCUAACCCUAGGCGUAGCCCUAACAAUGGCGAUCCCCAAAUCGCUCGUCUCAAUCCUCGCCAUCAUCGCCAUCGUGGCCCGCGCACUCGGAUCGGAGGCCCCGAGCGCGUACGAGAUGCUGGAGCGAUUCAACUUCCCCAGGGGGAUCCUCCCCGAGGGGGUGCGGGGCUACACUCUGGGCGAGGACGGGGCGUUCGAGGUGUACCUGAGCGGGGAGUGCGAGUUCAAGGUGGNAGGAGCGGAUCGCGGGGAGGGUGGCGUCGGGGUCGCUGCGGGAGCUGAGCGGGGUGAGCGUUAGGGUUCUGCUCGUCUGGUUCGGGAUCGGCGAGGUCGUGCGCAGCGACGCCGACCUCGACUUCUACGUCGGCCCCCUCUCCGCCUCCUUCCCCGUCUCCAACUUCGAGGAGAGCCCCCGAUGCGGCUGCGGCUUCUACUGCGCCCCACCCUCCUCCUCCUCCUCCUCCUCCUCGGCGGCGGCGGCGGAGGCGUAGAUCGCGGCGCCGGAGAAGGGGGAGGGGGAGGAGUCGAUUAUUACGUCGUCGUCCUCGUCGUCGCCGUUCCUUUUUUUCGUUUUUAUUUGUUUAUUUAUUUAUAAUUUAUAUACUUUGAUAGAGUGAAAUAAAUGAAUUUGGGACUAUCGUGAUAUUAUGAUGAUUUGGUCCCUCUAUUAGCGUUUGGUUCGUGAUAUUAUGAUGAAAAUUGGAUUGUUUCUGGGAUAAGAAAUAUAGUGUUUGGAUAGAUAACAUUGAAUAAGAAAAAUAGUGGAUAGUUAUAGGUAAAAAAUAAAAGUGUUAGUGUGGAUAGUUAUACCAGAUUAUUUUAGAUAAUCGAGAAUAACUAUUCUUCGGAGAAUAAAAAAUUAGCGUUUAAGUAUAAAGGCAUGAUUUUUAUUUUAUAUUUAAUUUUUGGAUAAAAAAUUAGUAUUUGGAUAUGAAGGCAUGAUUUUUAUUAUAUAUAUAUAUAUGAAUUGUUGUAAAGGGAGUGAAACUAAGAAUAUGUUUGUUUCAUUGUAAAAUUACAUUUUUUUUUCUUUUUACAAAUUAAAAACUAGAGAGCAUAAAAUUUAAUUUUCUCUAAAAUUGUUUUUUCUAUCGAAAUUUUUUUUACAAUUUUACGUAAAACCAAACACACCGUAAGGGAUUCUACAUAAGAGUGUUCCAGUUUUUUUUUUUCCUUUUUUUUUUUUUUGUGUAAGUAGUAGAUUAAGCCUCUGAACGGAUGGAUAAAGCGACUCUGUGGCCUGUGCGAGUCCUACACGUAAUGGAAUUUAGGAUGGUGGAGUUGAAUAUGUUUGAAUUUUGAAGAUUAGAUCAAUGCGCGAAUUUUAAAGCAGUGUGGACUUAAAAUUUGAUCAUGUUUGACGCAUAAUACACGGAUCAACUUUAAGCAGCGUGAACGACGAAUUGGAUUUCUCCAUCUCCUAUCGUGGAGAAAAAAAUUAGGGGAACUUUGUACGCAUAAUUUGAUUUACUCAUAAAGCUAAAGGGGAAAAAACCAAAAGAGAGAAUAAAAACAUUUGCUUAGAUCCAACAAUACAAGCUUUGGAUUCAGUUUAGGUCAUGUUGGGCCGAGACACGCGCACUAAUAUGCGCAGAACGCGCUUACACGGAAGUAUGUAUCGAUAUGCUUUUUCCGCGCAGGCGCAAAUGGAGAAAAACAAUAUAAAAUGCACCGUGGAAAAGGCUUAUACAACCCUUCCAAAAGCUUUAAAAUUCGCACAAAAAUCAAAUGGAGAGAAAUAGCAAAUGGAGAAAAACAACAUAGGAUGCACCGCAACACGGCGAAAAGGCUAUACAACCCUUCAAAAAGCUUUAAAAUUUGCACAAAUAUCAAAUGGAAAGAUAGCAACUGGAGAAAAACAACAUAGGAUGCACCGCAACACGGCGAAAACGCUAGACAACCCUUCAAAAAGCUUUAAAAUUUGCUCAAAAAUCAAAUGGAGAGGAAUAAUCUUUUCCGCUUUUGCUGAUUCAUACGAGUUCGACUGAUUAAAGAGCAGCAAAUAAUGCGUAUAGUUCGACACUGAUAGUUGUGUAUUUAUCUCAAGGAAAAUGCAUAUACAUAUGGUGAGUACAAACAAUCAAAUGGUCAUCUAAGGACCACUAUACAAUCAGUUUGUUUUCUUUCUUUUUUCGUUUUUUUUUUUUUUUUUACAAAGCAACAACUCAAACAACAAUUACCAGAUUGACUAAAAUAUGAAGAGCAAACUACAGAACAGUUGCACACAUACCUUGGGACGCCGACGCCACUGCCAAAAACGAUAAAUAGGAGCCGACUCAUAAUUAGAUAAAACUGAAGGGCUAAACAGAAAUAAACACAUUGUUAUCAUUUAUCAAGAUCUUCCCCUCCCUGCGCUGCCGUGCCGUUGGUUGCGGAAAUAGCUGAGAAGAGCAUGCGCCUGAAAAGAAUAAAGCACAACAGAGCCUCAUCUCAGUGCCUGCAUCAAGCCAUUUAAGCAAUCUGGGAACUCAUAAAGCUCCAAAAACUCCGAAGAGUUCUUAUUUAGCUAAUUAGGAACAUUUUCGAAAAAGUUUACGACUCCGCUUUAUUUGGUCCAUCAAAGGUCAAGAGAUAAGGAAUAUCAAGUUUGGUGAUCCUUGGGUAUGUUCAAAUUUACUUCUUCAUAGUCUGAACACCUUACUAAAUACGAACUUGGAACUUCAAAGAGACCUAAAAUUAACCAGCCUAAACUCGUGCCCAACCUGAUCAGUUCUUGCUCUGUAUAAUGUCGAGUUGGUUUCAGGUUGCAGACAUUUUAAACUCAUGCAGUUGGUCAGGUUAGGAUUAGAUAAUUCACACCUGAAUAAUAUACCAGAUACGACCAAGUAUAUGCCUAACACCCAUGGUUAAGAGGAAGAAAGUCAAAAAAGUUUAAAGGACCUACCAGAAAAACGUGUAGUUGUUUUAAACUUUUCCUAUAUGCAAUCCUUCAACAAACUCUGCAUUUCUUGGGUGUACUUUUCCAAAUAUCUAGAAGUCAACCUUCAAAGAAAGUCCUCUUUGCUUUCCGCAUCAUUUGAAAUAACAUUCCACUAGCAAAUUCCAAGAAACUGCUAAGCAUGCAAAUACUUCAAUGUGCAUUCAGCAAAUUAGACGACUUCUAUGAUAGACUUUGUGAACUAAAGCCGGAGUUAAAAAAAUAGAAAUAAAAUACUUGGCAAGACCUAUGUGCAGAAUGAAAAGUUAAACAUGUGAACUAAAAUAAGAUUCAAGAGAAAAAGGAAUGAGUAGACCAUGGCAUGCAGGAAGUAAGAUAAUCACAUGGAGAAAAUAAAUAUAAAUAGGGGAUACAAACGAAGUAUAAUACCUUUUCUUUUGCACGUGCAGUGCCUGACUGCGACAACACGACUAACGGGGGAACAGCACCUUCCUGAAGAACCUGACUACAGAACCGGUUACUAUUAGUGCAUAGGUGAAGCAAAGCUGCAGCGGCAUUUUCCUUUCCCCUCGCAGAACCCAACUCGACAACCUCUACAAGCACAGGAAUCCCACCUGCAUGGCCAAUCGCUGUCCUCCCUUCCGGUAUAGUAGCAAGAUUCGCCAAAACAGCCACGGCUUUAUCAACCAUCCCAGCAGCUGGGUCCAUAAGCUCUACUAGGUGCUUAACGGCCCCGGCCUGAACAAUUCGAGCCUUGUUUUCAUGGAAUAUGGACAAAUUAAACAAAGCAGUAGCUGCGUCUUUCCUUCCUCGAGGAGUCCCGUUUCCCAAUAAUUCUACUAAAGGCACGAUAGCCCCUGAUCGACCGAUCCUAACCUUGUUUUCUUCAAUUACUGAUAGGCUAAACAGAGUUGCUGCUGAGUUCUCUUUUGCUUCAGGACUACCUGUUUUGAGGACAUGAAUAAGAGGAUCAAUGGCGUCAGCACUGGCUAUCGCUGUCUUAUUAUUAUCAUUGAUCGAUAAGUUCAAGAGGGCAGUUACGGCAUUUUCUUGGGUCUUGGGAUCAGCAGAAUACAGAAGGCCAACUAAUGGGCUUACAGCUCCGCAAUUAGCAAUCACAAUCCUGUUCUCCAUGUUGUGUUUAGCAAGAAGGCGAAGCUCUGCUGUUGCAGCUCUCUGCACUUCCACAGAAUCGUUUUUCAGAUCCUCAAUCAGCUUCCGAACUUCAGUUUCAACACCGGAGAGGUCAGGUCGGGAAUCCAUCUGCGACGAUACAAUUCUAGGGGAGAACCUAUCAGAUGGACGGCGCCAAAUUUGACUUCUUCUAAGCGGAAAUUCAGGUUCUCUUGGGGGUGCAGAAGAGACAUUUUGGGUUUCUUGUGAAACUUCUCCUGAUGUAUCACUGCUAUCAUUACUCGAACCCUCACUUGAUACAGGAACAGCAUUGCUACUCGGAACAGCACUUGAGGCAGAAGCACUACUGUUUUGACCCUGAAUCUGCAUAUCCACAUGAGAAGCUCGAAAACUUUCCUCCUUCAGUUGGUUUGAAGUUUCGCCGCGAGAAUCAGUACACCUACUUUGUUCCAAACUAGAUUCUGUUUUUGCUUCAGAAGUGGCUAAUGAUAAACUCGAAAAGUUUUCCUCGCAUCCGUUUGAAGUUUGUGAAAUGGAGAGUCGCUGAUGGGGAGAUGUGGGACUAUUAGAUUCAGGUGAACUUGGACAGUCAGCCCUUUCAUUAGGGCUUGAAUCUACUAGAAAAGCAGAAGGAAGACUCAAAUUCAAUGAUUUCACAGGAUCGGGCAGUUUAAUGUCAUUUGAUUCACACCAGUUGGCAAUCAAAGCUUUGACAGUGUAAUUGGGAAUCAGGUUGGUGUGCACUAGGGUUUGACGUGUCUUAGGGCAAACAGUUAAACCCAGAUCAAGCCAUUUUUUGAUAAAGGCCCGCUCGUACGUUUGUCCUGAUGCAACAAUCACCGGAUCAGACAUCAGUUCCAAGGAGAGCGGGCAGCAAAAAUCAGCAGGGAUAGGUAUUCCUUUAAUGCUGAGUAACUGUUUUUCUUUAACAAAGCAAUCAUGCAUAUGGUUGACAAGUGCAGUUACUCGGUCAAUAGUAUCGAAUUCUAUGUGGUUUUCGCCUCGGCCACCCUUUGUUUUAAGUUUCUCGAGGGCAACAGCCUCAAUCAAGAGUUCAUGAUUUGUUGACAAGCUAAAAUGGUUUGAAAUCUUUGCCAGUUUUUCAGGCUUUGGUGUUGCUUUCCCUACCAGUUCUUUUGCAGCCUCCUUAAUGACACCACAAAUUUGGUCAUUAUGCAUCCGUUGAAGUUUCUGCAUUCGACAAAAGUUUCUUCAUGAUAAAGCUGAAUUCAAAUAAAAAGCUAAUUUAUGCUGAAAGAUAAAAGGGGAAAAAAGUUUGAGCUUUAUCAAAAUUGCCGUUACCUCAAUACAGGUUGAAGAACAACUGGGCACCGGUGGUGGAACCGAAGAAUUAACAUUUAGGCAUAUCUCUAGGGCAUAUGUCUUAAUCUUUGUAAUUAUGGGCUCAAUUUGCAAUACCUGCAAUGUAAAUCAAGCUUUAGUUCAUACCAAGUACUUCAAAUUGCCUAACAUUAAAACUUUCAUAAUGCUAGACAUGCUUUCUCAUGUAAGUCUCAAUGAUGUACGGGUGAUUCCACUUAACUACCAAACAAUCUCAAAUUUCAAACAAAGCAAAAUCAAGAUUAGCUUCCUAACAUUUCCAAAAGUUCACGAGUAUUCAUUUAUUUGGUAAUCAUAUAUCAUGAUUCCUCUGCUACAAAAGGAAAGACGAUUCAAAUACAUUUAUGGCUUCUUGAAAAACAAAAGGAACCAAUGUGCAGAAAACAUUAAAACAUGUACCAACUGAGCUAGAGUAAAGCUGUCACUAGUUACCCCGGAUGAGAGAAAAAGCAAUAUGGCAACAGGCAUUUCUGAAAAUACCCACGGCGCAUACAAGAUGAAAAAAAUGUGUAAUAAAUUAAAGAAAGAUCAACAGACUAGGAAAUCAUAAUAGCUGCUUUUAAAAAUGUGAUAAACAUAGUAUUACAAUCUACAACUUCCUGUUGUAUCUUGAAAAUGGAACAACUGGAGGUUGAGUUUCUCACAAAGGAUAAUAUAUUUUUUGUAAGAAAUUGGCCUGUCCUAGAAGAUCUCUUCAAAUAAACCACGAUAAUGUUUUUCAUCUGCAGUAUUUAGUAGCAAAGAAGAAAAGUAUAACAUAAAUUUAUUUGGAAUUAAGAUUUGAGAGGUCAUCAGGUAAUGGGGACGAUAAAUAUCCAAAAGUUAUCACACGAAUCAUUUCUUACAACAGGCAAAUAAAACAAAAGAAGCAAUUGAAUAUGAUAAAAUGAGCAGUUCUGACAUACAAGAAGAAUUUUGCUCGACAUCUGGUUCCAGCUGCCAAUAAUUUCCUGAGCUUCAUUGAUAACAAAGUCCAGUUCUUUAAGCACAUUACUCAGUUGCUCAUCUAGAGACGCCUUACAGAUGACGUCAUCAAAGACAGGUUUCAGAAGAUCCAAGAUCUCUUUAAUUUUUCGCCAGUAUCUGUGGACUAGUUCAGUUUUAACAGCAUUGCUGGAUGAUAGGAGGGCAAAAUUUGAGAUGCUAUCAAGCAACGUUUUCAACAAAGGUAUCUCCAUAGGACCUGUUUCAAAGUGCAUACAUGGUGAUGCUUCAAAGUCAAUAAACUCAUACAUCAGCUGAGAAUGGGCAUACAAAUUAAAUGACUUUAACAAUGAAUCCAACAGCAACCGUGACUUAGAAAUAAAUCCAAUAACCUAACAAUUUAAAUUAGACAUAGACAUGAGGAUUCAUCAACAAAUCAGUAAAGGAUAAUGGCAGAUUCACGAUAUAAAGAGAGGGAUGAUCUCACCCAAGAGAUCACGCAAUGGGAACAAACGGAUGUGGGUUAAAAACUUGUCACAGUAAAUGUAUCACAUAAAAUUAAUUUUAUCAAUUUUUGAUCGACUUACGUCUCUAAUUGAAUAAAAUUGAAUCAAUAUAAGAAACUUUGGACUAGCAUUUAGACUAUAAAUUUACUUAAAUUUUCAAUGGUUCAGCAAAUUUUCCUCACAUUUUCUAUCUCGUUAGCAGUCCCAAAUGAAAGAUGCUCUAAGGGCUACUUUAUCCGUUUCCUCAAUGGACAAUUAUUAAUAAGAGCGAAUUCAUCUGAGACCCAAGACCUCUACACAUUCCUACAGACCCUAGAUCUCAUUAUUAUUAUUAUUAUAAACAUGACAGUGCGGUUGAGUGCGAGAAUCAAAUGUUGUAACAGCAUAUCAAACCAACCAAAGGAGGGAAAAUCCCAAAAUGAGAUUAAUAAUAGAAACAAAAUACAGGUGCAUACAAUGUUUAUCCCUAUUGUCCAAACGCAGUCCUCGCAUACUAAACUGCGAUCUCAUGCAAUUGUAAAUAGUUUCUAAUGCACAACAUCAUAAAGAGAACAAAAACCUCUCCUCUAAUCAAAUCCGUGAAAUUAUUCAAAGUAGCGGUUUUGAUGCAUAUGAGCGAGCAAAAUUCGAGCUUUGCACAAACGAAAUUCCCCCAAUCACCAACCCACAACAUCAAUUAGAACAAAAUUACGGACGGAACAUAUAAAAAAAAGAAGAAGAAAAUCUAAGUAGACGAUACCUUGCGCCGCGAGAAACCGAAGAAGCGACGAAUCCCGUGGGAGAUCGAGGACGAGGAGACGGAGAGACUCCCCUCAGAAGAUUCAAAAGCGCGUAGAAAGAGAUCGGAGAGGAGAACGGAUCGAAUUUCUAGGGUUUCGGGGGGGAGAAAUGGGGAGAGUAAACCCUAACGGAAGAGAGAGAGAGAGACGUCGAAGAGAGAGAGAGAGAGGGAGAGAGAGAGAGAGAAGAGGAAUGGGGAAGAAGAGGGAGGACGCGGAGGAGUUGUUUUUGGUGUUGUUUUUGGUGUAGGGAUACGCGCACCCACUCUUGGGUGCGGGGCAGGUAUCCACCGUCCAAACCGCGUUAGGAGCAAGGCUAGCACGAAUCCUGAUGCGCCGCCCGGUGUCGCACGUGGAUCUGUAUGCGGCCGCGCUCGCGUAGGACAUUAUGGACAUUAUUAGACGGACGCGAUGGGAGGAGGGUCUCUCUGUAGUAGGUCUACGGAAGGAGAUGUUUCCGUGAACCGUGUGCACCACGUCAGCCGAGCACGGAGUAGGUAAAAUUAUUGCUUUGGGCUCGCAACGCUGGUACAAUUAUUUCACCAUGCUUCUUUCUUGUACUAGCUAAGUCAAAAACAUUGACACCUAAUACGCAUUAAUAAUAUUUGUUUCCACAUCAUUUUUUUUAAUUUUAAAAUUAUAUCUAUCAUAAUCAACCAAACAUGUCAAGUUGACACCACCAAAGUAUCUCAUCUUUCUGAAAUUGGUUUUUACAUGGAGUUCAAAAAAAAAAAAAAAAAAUUCCAAAAGACUAUGAUCUACAAUAGUUGAUUGUUAUUUUGAUUAACACCUGGUACAUUUCUAGGAAAAGAGGUUUUAAGCUCCCAGAUUCUCAAUUUUAGAUGUAAUAGAUUCAGACAGUUCUUGGGGGUUAGGAGACAACAAACAACUUCUUUUUAAAAGAAAAAAAUUAAAAUAAUAAAAAAUAUUUUUAUUUUUUAAUGAAAAGAAUUACAAGGCUAGGGAACAAAGUAAACAUCACUACAGAGUUAAGGGCAUAAUAGAACAAUUUACCCUUCAAAGCCUAGUACAUUCACAGGUUGUGGCACUUGCAUAGUUGCAUUCAACUGUACCAGUUACUCAUAGAGUACCAUCAAGCAGUAAAACAAAGUGUUCCUGAAACACUGAUUACAAAAACAAAAAAGAACCCAGAGAGAGAAUUUUUACUCCAAACAUAGAAGGAUAAGGUUUGGUGGUCCCUGGAAUAGGUUGGUUGGGUUAAGUCCAUACUAGAAAGAUAAGAAUCAUAAGAUUACUACUUAUUUCAAACAUUCACUAUCAACAAAAUUUCCUUUCCCACUAUUUUUUCCUUGACAUUAAUGUGAUAUCACAUCCUAAAAUGUUGAGAUUGUUUUGUUAUCAAUUUUGUGUGAAAUAGCUUUUAUACAAAAGACUUUCUUUCACAUGCACCUUUUUCUAGGGAAGGAAGGGCACAAAAGAAAAAGGAAAAAGAUAACAACAAACUCAAAUCAGACACAAAAGGCGAUGUAGAUGUGCAGGGUUUUCACAACUAGAAAAGAGAUAAAGAAUAAUUCACACCGACUACUGCUUGAAUAGUUCAUACUUGUUCCCGAAACAACUCAGUAAAUGACAUUGCUGUACACUGGUACUGAUAAUAAUAGAAGUUAAGCACAAAAAAUACUUUAACGAAAAAAGGGGAAAGUAAGGGUCCGUUGCAUUAACCUUGAAAUAGAGCUCGAGAAGUUGAUUGUUCAUUUCACACUGAACAAACCCCUCAGAGGAUAAGGUGAGAUUGGAAGAGGUGAGAUCACGUGGAACGAACAUUGUGCGUCCGAGAAGCCCAAAUUCCAAAGAUAAGAAACCAAAACACGAACAGGAUCGCCCAAUAUCGCGUUGCUCCGUACUUGAAUCUAGGCACAACCUGUUAUGAGUACAGAAGAGGUUCGAGAACAUUGCCGAGAAGAAGAAAAAGGGUGAAAAGGAACCCCUCAAUUACAUUGCCACUUUGAAAUAGACUACCCACUGUACACCUUAAACUAUUAAAUGCGAGAAUAAAUCAAGAUAAAAAAAUUGUGCUUCAUUGGUUUACUCUUUUCCAUGUAAUACACGAGAAAGCAUGGCUUGCAAUCCCGCUUGGAAACUGAAAUAUUUAUAACAAUAAGAUCACAUAGAACUUUUUAGUUGCAAUUUACUUACAAAUCUAAGGAAGAUCACAACCGUCAGUGCACAUAAACCUCCAAGAAGCAUCUGAACACCAAUUUUAGCAGCUUUCUGCACACCAAAUCAGAAUCAUUUGUCAUGUAGUGAAUAGAAAAAAAAGAACAGAAAUAUAUGCAACUCACCCAAUUUAUCAAUAGUUUAAUUAUUGAGAGUAAAUUCUUUUGCACCUGGGAGCUAGAACAAACUGACAGGACUUGAAAAAUGUAUGCCGCACAACGAGCAGGAGAUGAGUUACCACAAGUUAUGAAAUAUAAUGCUUUGCUAAAUGUGCUACUGACUCUAAAAUGGAGAUUGAAUUCAGUGAUAGGUGCACUUCCCGAUAAAAACAACAGAUUACUGAUGCCCUAGAUUGCAGAUUGAGGGUAUAUGUCAGCAUUGGUUCGGAUUUUCCUUUUCCAUAGUAUCAAGCUGUAAAUGUUAGUAAGAAUUCUUAUACAGCUCUUGGAACUUUAUAAGUUCCACAUGUGGAACCUUCGGUCUUAUGCAACACUGAAGAUCUAUAUAAUGCAACAUUCGUAUCUCACAAUCUCUUAUUAUUACAAAACAAAAAUCCUUUUCGCUAGCAAGUAACAACCACAGCAAAAGCAAAUCAUGCACUAUCCUGAACACAAAAGAGACAUACCCCCCCGAAAACCAUGGUAAUUUCUAAAUUCAAACUAAACCAAAGGAACCAAUAAAAAAGAAGCCGACCAAAAAGUGCAUCUAGAGUAAAAGCAUCAGCAACCCAAAUCCAGAUAGCAAUACAGUGGUGUUCUUUUUUCUUUUUCUUUUUCCUUGUCAUGGGAGGAGUUCCCUCUCUUUUGCUUCCCACAAUUACCAAGAUAAUAACAAUAGGAAAUUACACCUUCGCGAACAGACCGGUUGUCUCUGAUUCUAUCUUAUUCAUAUUUUAAUCUUCAUAACUUUCUUGUUUUUGUAAAUAUUCUGUUAUUCUCUUUGACAUUAUUCUCUUUCAUUAUUCACUGGCAAACAGAAAGGCGGAGGCCAAGUAGGGGACACAUUAGGGACAUAGCAGUAAGUAGGUAAGCCUAUUUUACUUCAAUAUUCAGUGUAAGGCAUCAACAAAUGAAAAAUGACGAUGUAGCCAUGAUAUAUUAUAGCAUAAGAUGACUGAAGUAACAAGCAGAUAGCAAAAAAUGUAUCUAGAAGCAGUUACAUUACCACAUCUUAGAAAUAAACAAUUAAGCAAAACAAGAACAUGCAUUGCAACUUUACUGAAUAAUUACUACCAAAUACUGCAAUUUUAUCAGGGGUGAAUUCUUUUUUCACAGCUGUGCAUAUACAUGUAACAUUAUACAACAGAGAAGAGCAAUGACAAAAGAAAAAUGCAUGAUCUAGUGAAUAAUUUCAUAUACAAAAGACUAUACAUUGUCAAUGAAAACAUACAAAAGCAGGCACUGUUAAAACAUACCUUACCAACACGAGGAGCAAUUAACCAAGCAAGGGUCACAGUAAGGAGGCCUGUAGCAACUAAAACUCCAGUACCUUCCAAAGCCCAUUUAGUCCUUGAAUGAUCCGUAUCAACAACAUUCUCAGUUGCAUUAUUAUUUGGGCUGGUGGGCAUCUGCUCCAUUGGUUCCUGUAUAACUGUUACAGAAGUAUUAUGUGGGUUGAACCACAACGAAAUCUCACUAAGCCUUUGUCUCCUAAUUCCAGCCAGGGCAUCUGGGUCAACACCUAUGUUUGCCCCAAGAUGAAGGGGAGUCACUUCACCUGUAGCAGUUCUUUCCCUUAACGCAUCAUAGUCCUUUAAUGAAGCUACGACCUUCUUGACAUCUUCAAUCCUUACAUUUUUAGCAAGACUUCCACAAAUCUCACAUAUAGUGGACCCAUGGCUCACGAACCACUUCAAUGCACAUGCAUAAUGGGCAAGUGACAGAUCAUUUUUGCAUGAACAGCCCAGAUCAAUCAGUGAGUCUUGGUUGCAAUAAGACCCAGAUUCUAUAUCGGCACUACAUAUAAAUACUUCCCCUUCGGGGCUAAUAAACUCGACAAAUUGAGGAUCUCUCGCACAUUUUUUGGAAUUGGUUUCAUCCUCUUCAGAAAAUUUCCUGGUAAUAUUAUCACUUGAAUUCCUUACAUCAUUGAUUUCUGGUAAUUCUUGGAUUGGCAGUGUGAUAUCUAAGAAGCCUAAGGCAACGUCACCCCUUUGAUCAGAUUCAACACAGUGGCAGACUCGACAAAGCAAGACACCCGCAUCCUUAUCUGUACUAGAACUAGAGAUACUUGAAUUCUGUCUAUUAAUUGAAGAGACUAAAUUCAUUUCUUUGUUUCUGCCGCCAUCUAAUUGUGCCUGUUCUUCCUUGAGGCCCAUCGGAAUGUUCAAUAAUUUCUCCAAGUGCGUAAGAAUGGACAAGACUUACUACAAAGCAAGUAGCCCGCUUUAUGGUGUGCUCAGAGGAAAUAGAAUAACAAACUUCUGGCAUUCCUACAUGGCAUAAGAAAGAAGAACCUGCUCUUGUCAGGGUUUGAUACAAACCUUGCUAAUUGCUACUAACCUGAAGUUACAGAUUAAUCCAUUCUCCAAGAGAUCAUACAUGCUUCUUGAUCCAAUAAAUUAAAAAGCAACUUAUUCAAGCAUGCUUCCGGAAUCCAACAACAGUACCAGAAGUCGCUACCCUGUUUGUUGCUGUAACUACAACAGAAACAAAAAGGAAACAACAGAAAUGGAAAAAGAAGAUUAUUACUCGAACAACUAUUGUAUGCAUCAGCAGCAACAAGAUAGGAAGAUCAGAUUUUGCAAAAGUUAUUUAAGCAGGAAAAAAUCCUGCUCAAUAUGGUAAACAAAUACAAGGUACAUAUGCUUUCAAUUUGAUAUAUAGAAAAUAGAUGCCUUGAGUGCUUCACAUAUUUGCAUAAGGGCAUAAUAAUCGUGUUGAUAAAAACAAACAAAAUAAUAGUCAUGAAGAACUAAUCUGCUGUGACUCCUCACCAGUCAAAGGCUUCAUUUGGAUAGUCGUACCCCACGUUGUGUUGCAGCACAUGGAGCAUUAAGUUCGUUUACAAAAGCACCUACGCAUAUGCUUGUGCAAAUGUAGGACGCAACACAGAAAUUACCACAAAAUGGCUAUGCGGUUUUUGUCGGGGCGCUAAUCGCACUUAUCGCCAAACGAUCUCCGCAUUACCACGAAGCAUACAAAACGGAGAAUCAGGCACCUAAACACAGGGCCAAACGGAGCCUAAUCAUUCAUGUUGAUUGGACCGAAUUCUGCGAUUUUUGUAUAUUUUUAUACUAAAUUAUGUUUAAUUCUUGUCGUUCCCAUGCUUAAAUACUUGAUCAUUCUCUUGAUGAUCAAAAUGCUACACCAGCAUUAAUUGAAACCCUGUGAUGAGUUCAUCUAAUAUGCUUACUCAAAGUAUCAACUUGUCAAAGAAACUAGGGUAGAAUCUACUACUCGUCGGCAAGCAUAAAACCGUAAAAAACCCUGAAAAAACUCGAAUUAAACAAAUCAAUUUGGCUAAAGUGAGAUAAAAUCCAAUGCCGCACUGUGAAUCUCAAUCCCAGGUAGGGCAGAUUCCCCUCAGAUUCAGCAGAGACCGAACCAAUCCCUUCCAAUAUCAAACCCCAAAUCAUCUUGCGAUACAAAAUUAACAACUAAAUCAAAACACUUCGAUCGUAGUUGGUUGCAAGGGAGAAACUUCGAUGAUCGGGGAGAGAAAUUACCAAAUUCAAACGGGGGAAUCGGGGGAACGAAGGGGGGGCUCCUCUGGGGAGUUUCGUCGCACUCGGAAUGGGAAUUAGGGAUUUGGGCGAAACCGAAGAUUGGAGAAGAGGGGGAGCGUGAAAAUUUGGACUCCUCUGGAGCUCUCGAGCGAUGAUGUGCGCUCGGAGAGAGAGAGAGAGAGAGAGAGAGAAAAGAGAACCAAAAAGUGCGAGGGGUUGGACACGUGGCGUUUUCUUCGCUGUGGAGAGAGAGUAUAUAUAUGUUUUUCUCUCCUUAAAAAAAAAAAAAAAAUUCUUCAAAUACGACCCAUAUUAUCUCGCACUCUAUAACUUUAGUAUCCUAUAAUUUAAAAUAUAAUAUUUUAGUAUUUUAUAAUUUUUUUUCAUCCUUAUUUUUGUUAAUUUUUAUUAAAUUAUAUACAAAAAAUUUUAAAUACUCUACUUAGAAUUUAUCAAAUAUUCAUUUUAGUAUCGUGUGAUUUAUCGAAUUUUCACUUUAGUGCACCAUAGUUUUAAGCUUUGUCGACAUUGAUUUAACGAAAAAAUUAAUAUAAAGAAUAACAAAAAGAAAAAAUUAAACCACAAAAUACUAAAGUGAGAAAGUGCGAAUAUUUAAAUUUUUUUUUAAAAAUAAUAGUAAUCGGUAUAUUUGUAGCAAAUUUUUUUUAUUGCCAGAGCAAAUAUAUUCAAAUUAUGAAUAGGCACAAUGUAUCUUGUCCGAUAAUAUCAAAAGUGGCUUUAAAUAUAUCAGAUAUAUUUAGAGCAAAUUCUAUUAUUAUCUGAGCAAAUAUAUUCAAAUCACAGUUGGAUAAAAUGUAUAUGCUCUAGAUAUAUCAACUCCUAAAAAAUUAAUAUAUACAGAGUAAAUUUUCUAUUAUCAAAGCAAAUAUGUUUAAAUUACAGUUAUAUAUAAUGUAUCUGCUCUGUUAAUAUAUUUAAAAUAAAUUUUACUUUUGCGAGAGCAAAUAGAUUCAAAGUACAGCUAAAUAUAAUGCAUCUAUGAGGUAGUAUCAAAAGUUGUUUUAGAUAUAUCAACCUAUCGCCAACAAAGUUUUAAUUUUUAAGAAAUAUAUAUAUAUAUAAUUUUUUUAAAAAAAAUCAAAUAUUAUUUAUGUGGUUUCACACUUUUUUACUUUAGUUUCCUAUGAUUUAAAUUGUAUCAAUUUAGUACCAUGUUGUUUCAUUUUUUAUCUCUUUAUUAUUGAUUCCAUUAAUUUUUUUCGUUAAAUUAGUGACAAAGUUAAUACUAAAGGAUACUAAAGUGAAUAUUCGAUAAACUCAGGUAGGGUAUUUGAAGUUUUUUAUAUAUAAUUUAAUAAAAUAUUAACGGAGAAGGUGACGAAGAGAUAAAAAUAAAACCAUAUGACACUAACUUAAUACACUUUAAACUAUAGGAUAUUAAAAUGAGAAAAUGCAAAACGAUAAGGGUCGUAUUUGAAGUUUAUCUAAAAGGCUUUUCCUGUUGUUGUUGUCAUCAUAAUUUUUCUAAUAGAAUAAAUUUUUAAUUUGUUUUUCUAUCGAGUAGUUCCAAAAAAAUUAAUAAUAAAGCAUGAGAGAAUAUCCUAGACAUUUAUAUGAUCUUUUUGUUUCUGCAGAUUUUAGAGGUUGAAUAACUAUUUCAAAAAUGUUGUAAGCAUCAACAUUUAUUUUGGCCGUAAAUUUGCAAAAUUAUUCAAAUUCUCACUCACAAUUAUAUACGGAUUGACCCAGUCGAUAUCGAUGAAUAGAAAUAGAAAAUGAAGUUGAGUUGGCAAAACUCAUAAAUCUCUCGCUCUCGGACUUUUCGUUUCUAAACAGCGACGCAGUACCGACCGUCCCUAGUGCAGGUGACAAAGGAUUUGGUGAUUGAUACCCGCGGUUCCAAGUUUGAAUCCUAGUUGAUUUACAUUUUCAGCUAAGUUUAUUUCUAAAAAAAUAAAUGAAGCGAGUAGCAUGUUAUCUUUCUCUCAGAAAAUAAACGGGGUUGCAGUGUAUUGCGGAACACUUUCAAUAAAGUUGAAAUUUUAGUGGUGUGGUGCAUGAGAUGUACCGAUACACCGGGUGCAGGGAAAAUAGUUUAUCCCAAAUGGGAGACAACAUGUAGCUGAAUCACAGCUGGAUGGUCUUCGGAUCAGAUCUGGAAUGUAUUACGUAUCCAAGUGUGUUUAAAAAAAAAAAUUAAUUAUUUUUUUUUACAUUAAAAAAUAGCCCAAAUAAUUAGUGGGGGAUAAAUGGGCCCCACUCCACGUGGACCCCACGAACCAAUAGAGAACAAGGUCUAAGAUUGGGCGUAGAAAAAAUAGGUGGUCUACGUUUUGGACCGUUGAAAUUGGUCCCCGGGCCCACGAGGCCCGUCUCCGCCGUAGGAUCUCCUUGGCCGAAUCACCGACAAACCCAUUUUCCAUAUUUGCCCUCCAUUUUCUUUAUAAUUACAUUUGUACCCACCCAUCGGCACCGUGCGUAAACGGGAAAUAUGCACCCGGUGUAUCCGUACAGCAAUAUGCACCGUAUCAAAUAUUUGUUCCUUAAUAUAUUAAAAAUAAAAAUAUAAUCACUCCAUAUAAUCUACAAAAUUUUAAAAGAAAUAUUUGUUCCUUAAUAUAUUAUUUUUAUAAUUCAAGGUAGCUAUAUUAUUUUACCCAAAUUAUUAUCAAAGUUUUUUCUAAAUUUUCAAAGUUUGUUUGAACUAUGAAUUUUCCAUGGUUCCAAAUUUAAUAUUAACAAAAUUUUAAUUUUAUUGCUUAUAUCACAAGAUUUUAUGGUGCGGUGCAUGAGGUGUAUGCGUACACCCGGUGCAUGAGUAAUUUCCAUGCACAUUCCAUCCCGACACAGUUUGACGAUUCUACCCCACAUCGCCGGUGCAAUGUCCCCUCUCAAAACGGUAUAUUAUGCCUUAGGCAUAAUUUAAAUUAAAAUGUACCCAUAGUAAACGACAAAAGGAUCCGAUGAUGACGUAAGCCCAGGUCAUCAUUUUUACACGCAUAAAGUGUUCCCGGGGAGCAACGUACCGCAUAAUUGCUCCGCAUAAAACGGGUCCUUUUGUGGAUUACCCGUUUCUCACUCACGGUCACUUCCUCUUCCCUCCCCUUCCGCGCCAUUAUUAAAAAAAUAUUAUAUGUAUAUUUAUUUAAUAAUUAAUAUAUGUUGUUUUUGCGAAAAAUGCAUAGAGACCCGUGAAUUGUAGUUAAUUUUGAAAUGAACCCUCUAUUGUUAGGCAAAUUUAUAAGUUUGAGAAUAUUGAAUUGUAAUAAUUAAACCUUGUAAAUUAUU
rnacentral:lncRNA from 1 species